rnacentral:lncRNA from 1 species
UCAACAUGUGAACAAAUGCCAUGAUUAUCCAAGUGGGGACACUUGUAUAACCAUUUAUAGAAAUCAAUGAACAGAAUAUAUAUCUGAGCUAACAUGUCGAUAAUCAAAGAGUACAUAAUCUGUACAGGGAUAGAAUAAUUCUGAAACUUCUUACUCAUGUCCAUUGCAUAAAGGAAGUGCAAAGGUAGGAUACUUGCCUGAUUCGCUGAUUACAAAUCUCAACUUAGGUUUUAUCUCUUUAUCACAACCUAUCAAUAAUCAGAUCAUUCGUUCGAUUAGAACAAUAUAUCUUAACACAUAGUACUGUCUAUUACAGUCAGCACAUAGUCUAAUCACAUAAUCACAGUGAUCAUACUUUUAGUUCCUAUUCUAUACUUGAAAUAUUUUUAUACAUUUUUCAAAUAUCUCAUCCAUGCUCUUACAGUAGUCUUUUCUUUCUUUUAUAAGGUCUGACAUUUGUCGGCGUACCGACAGCUUUAUCGGGUAAAUACUGAGUCUAAGACUCUUAUUCUAUACCUCAACAUCUGUAAAUAUCAGACAUCUUAUUUUUAAUCAUUUUCGCAAUUUCCAGAAAUUGAAAAAUUUAAAAUAAUUCAAAUCUGUCACUAAAGGGCCUAUAGUGAUAUAACUGUUACUAUAGGUGUUCUUCUUCAAAUUCAGAACUUCAUAAUCGGUUCUCAAGUCAGCUAGUUUGGCCGGCUAUAACUUUCAAAUAUCGGAAUCAUAAUUAAAUGAUUUAAACAUUAAACAAUUCCAUUAUCAUUAAUAGUUUAAUUAAUACUAAACUAUUAAUGAAACCAUUGCCAAAAUAUAAAAGUUAUUUAUAAUAACUCAAACUAUUUUUAAAACAUUUAUAUUACCCAAAUAAUUACCAUUAAUAUUUAAAUAUUAAUGUACUAUUUAUCCAAAUAUUAAAAGUCAUUAAUUAUAACUUAAAAUAUUUUUAAAUCCUUAAUAUCCUCUUUAAAUGGUUUUUAAAUAAGUAAAACCAUUUUUAAACUAUUUAUUUAAUAUUAAUCAUUAAAUAAACUAAAUAUCAUUAAUAUUAUCUUAAUAUCAUUAAUAUUUAAUUAUUAAUGAAAUUAUCAUUUAAAUAUUAAAAGUUAUAUUUUAUAACUUAAAAUAUUUUUAAAUACCUUAUUUUCAUUUAAAAUGAUUUUUAUAAUAUUAAAAUCAUUUUUAAACUAAAUUAUUUAAUAUAAUCAUUAAAUAACUUUAAUAUCAUUAAUAAUUAUUAAUUAAUGAAAUUCAUCACAAAAUAUUAAAAGUCAUCACAAAUAACUCAUUUACAUAAUCAAUUCCAAGCCAAAAUAAACAUAGUAAACUAACUAGUUUAUUAACAACACUAACUAAACUUCAAAAAUUCAAACUUUAACUAACAAUUAAAAAUAAUAACAUUACAAAAAUUAAAUAAGAAACAUACCCGGAAAUACGAAUUCCACAGACUGAAUACGCACUUCCACGCCAAAAUUUAACUAAGGAGAUCUUUAUAAAAAGUUCUCCCACAACAAAGCCUUUCUCAAAAAUUGGAGGCCUUAUUGUUGGUGAAUGAAACAAAGGCCAAGCCCUUCUAUUUAUAGGUUUAGAAAAUGGUGAAGUUCUCAAUUUAGUCGAUGUGGGACUUGGUUUAUACUAAUUUUUCAAUAGCUCACUUUGCGAUUUUCUAACGCAUUGCUCAUAACUCCGAUUAAUCUGAUUUUUGGAUAUGUUAUACAUGGUAUGUAAGACUAUUUUUAAAAAAUACGAAUUACCCAAUUCGGGUUCAUUAGGUAGCCCAAACAGUGCGUCAAAAGUGGACGUUCAUAACAGUUUUCAAUCUCGUUUCAGCUUUACCCUCUUUCGCUAAAACAGUCAUAACUCUUUCAUUUUAAAACAUUUUUGAGCGAUUCUUGAGCCCACGCGAAGCUAACUUCUGGGGCUACAACUUUUAUUCUUUGACCAUUUCCAAAUUCCGAACACAUCAGCCCAGAAAUUCCGUUCAAAUGGACUGCACCGCACUUGUUGGGAAGUUUUGACACUACUACUUUGAAAUGUCAUAACUCUCUCCUCCGAUAUCGGAUUUAGUCCGUUUCGGAGUCUAUGGAAAGCUUAUUCGGUGUACUAUAACAUACCAAAAGCCCAGAAGGUUUUGGAAACAUUAACUGAUCGAAACAGUGUCCCGAAUAGCACAUCCCGCUGCUGACUUUCAGUUUUGAGAAAUUUGACACAUUUCCUUCCAAUCACCGUAAUUCCCUCAUCCGAGGUCGGAAUGAGGUCAUUCCAAAGCCUAUGGCUUCCUAACUCAGUGCACUACAACAUAUCAAAAGCCCAGACCUUUUAAAGCACAAAAAGUGGACGAGAAUGCCCCCAUUACAGACUGCCCAAAAACAGUUUAUCAUGAUCGGUCAACCAUGUUUGACCAUCUAUAACUUCUAAUCUAUACAUGAUAUGGACUUGAUUCUUUUUGCAGAUUAAAGACCACAUAUCAGGCUACACAUAACAACUUUUGAAGAACAAAACUCAUGAUCGAGCAAAGAGUUAUGGCCUCUGACAUUUGGUGAAAAAAAAAAAGAAUUCGGUUUUUCCAACUUGCUUAAAUCUUCAAAUUCGUGCACUUUGAUGUUAUGGGUCUUUGAUUUAUCAACCCAUAUCAUCAAUUAACAUUCUAUUACACAACUUUAAACAAUCAAUUGCAUCAAAUAACAUCGAAUCAAAGGAUUUCUAGGUUUAGUGUUCUUAUACCCUUUUUGCCAAAAAUUCUUGAUUCUUGCUUCUGAUUUGUUAUGGGUGAUGGUUGGGCUUUGUUUAAGAGUGUAUGGGCAAUCUUGUACAAGGCAAUUAAAUGUAAUAUUUAAUCACUAGAUUUAAUUCUUAUAAUUUACCAAUUAACUUCUAUCCUUUGGUAAAUUAAAACACUUAUACAAUAACAUCGAAAUUAAACCCGGUAAUUAAAAUUAGGGUUUCUCAACGUCAUCAAUUAGGGUUUCUAAUUGACCAUUAGUGGUUCUUUAAUUAUCUGUGUAUGUUACUAACACAGUCGUUACGGUUUCUAAUUUCAACCGGUUAGGGUUAUAAUAAUUAGGGUUUGUCCUAAUUAUCGACGUACAACAGUAAUUAGGGUUUCUUCUAAUUACCGAUAUUCUUAUUCACAGUAACUUCAUAUACACAGUCACUACUCAGAAAUAUCCCAUAACUGAGUUUAAUAAUUAGGGUUUCACAGCACGGUAAUAUGCUAUGACCUAAUUGACCGUCAUUGCUCAAUAUUAUCUGUCCGCACAUACCCAGUACAUAAUUAUGGUACUGUAAAAUCAUUAUAUAAAUAAUAUAAUAUUAUUAUUCUCAUCUCUUGAUCACAAUCCCAAUCCAGGGUUUGGAUCUCAUGUCUGACUUAUUCUUCGUACACAGCAUCAAUAAUCAAGUUAAAAUAAUUAACUUAAAUAUUCUGAACAAUUCAUAUAAUAAAAUAUUUAUUAUAUAAAUCUAAUUAUCACUUCAUAUAUUAUUUCCAAUCAUGUUAUCAUGAAAAAUAAUUAAUAAAAAUAUUUCUGCUUACAGAAAUUAAUUACCAUAAAAAUAUAAUUUGUAGUAAUUAAUUAUUCCAAAAUUAUUUCUAAUUUUUCAAGUAAUAAAUAUAUUCGCAUUUAUCAUUCACAUUACUAGACACUUAUUCUCGUCAUUAAAUAAAUAAAUAAAAAAAAAAUUAUACGCAAAAUUUCUUAAUUAUUUUAUAUAGGAAAUCUCGGGUUAUUACAUAAUCUCAUCUGGUUGUUACAUGUCUUCAGUUCUUUUAUUAUUUUCUUCUGAUUUGUGUUUGACCGUUGUUUAUUCUGGUUACAUUUGAUAUACCUUACCUCUUAGUGUUUGUUUUAUAAACUGUUGCAAAUUUUCUACUACUCUUUUUCUGUUUUUUUUUAAAAUUCUCUGAUUUUGAUUUGUUUAAUCUAGUAUUUAUGUUUGGAUCUAUGUUGUAUUGGUUUCUCCUUAAGUCUUGGCUGAAGGCUGUAUAACAUCUAAUUAAAUAUGCACACUGUCUGAUCAUCAGAUUACACUAAGUAUGAAUAUAAAUGAAUUUUGCUACUUCAUCUAUCUGAGUUUUAGUUUUUGUAAUUGAUAUGCUGAUUCUAGUAUUGUGAAAUAGAUAUUUUUAGUUUUAAGUUGGGAUGUAUUUGAUUUUUUCUGAUGAGUUGACACACUAUUUUGGUAGUUUUGUCUGGACAUAUCUAAGUUUGUUUUCUACUUCCUUUUUUCUCUGAAAUUUAUAGCAUCUUCUUGGGCUGAAUAUUUUUUGUGAAUUACGAGAAUAAUCAAUCUAUUGUUCGAGUAUGACUUUUUUAAUCUGAAUUUAUAAGUUACCUUUUCCCAUCUCUACGUGCUUAUAGCUGGAAACAUUAUUUGUUUGUUGAAUAAUAAUGUUUGAAGGAAUGUCUUAAGUUGCUUAUAUAGAUUAUUAGUGCUCAUUUUCAGAUCAACACAGUUUUUGCUUAAUAUUACUCUUUCUUUGAUAACAAUUUCAGUUUUCUCUCAUUGAAUGUAGGAUCUUCCGAAGAACACCUUUUCAAUACUACUCAUUUGCAACAUUAAGAAGUAGUCAAGAUGGUAAAUGAAUUUGUUUUGGUUAGUUUAUGAACAUUCUGCAGAUCUUUUAAUCUUGUUCUUUUGGUUGGCUAAAUCAAUGUAAUGUUCUGAUUACAAAAAUUACCUUGUAUCAUGCAGGUGAAGUUUACAUCUGAUGAGCUCCGCAGGAUUAUGGACUACAAACAUAACAUUCGUAAUGCUUGUUAUUACCCAUGUUGAUCAUGGUAUGGAAGCAGCUGGCUCAUUCUUUUCGAUAUUUAUAUUUUUUUAGCAAGCUUAAAAGUAUAGCUCUGACGGUCACCUGAUAACUAUAACAUGGCUGUACUUUUUUACCUUUUCUGUGGAAUAUAUCUAAAAAGAUGUUCACAUUUUAUGUUGCAGGAAGCUUUUGUAAGCUUCUACUUGUUUUGGUGGCAUUUCGUCACCAAAACUGAAGCAAAUGGUUUAUAAUAAAUAUUUAAAAAAAUGGUAAAUACAUCUACAAUUAAUGUAUAUCUAUUGUGGGAAACGCCCUAUGCAUGUGCCCAGAGAGCCCUCUUAUGUACAUUUGAUGUGGGUUUGAGUUCAGCUGAAAAAACUCUUGUCUACCCUUGUAUAUUGUUUGAUGCUCUUUCUUAUUACAUUAUUUUGAUAAUCUUAAUACUGCUUGUACUGAUGUCAUUUCUUACUAACGACAGGGAAGUCCACCCUUACCGAUUGUACCUUGGAAAAUUCUCCUCCCUAUUGUACCUUGGUUCUUGCAGAAGUUCAAACCAUGGACUGUUGUAUGAACUCCUCCUUUACUCUUUUGUUCAAGGCAUUUGGUUCAGUCUAAAGAGACCCUUUCUUUUUUUCUUCUUUUUCCCCCUUUAAUGGUUGUACUAUCUAUUUAUAUAUAUUGUGUUUUGCAGCAUGAUUUUAUAAAGUGGCUGUCGGGGUUAAUAUUAAUAUCAUACACAAUUUUGUGUGUAUGUAUUUGUGAGUUCCAUAUUAUGUGGAAAACCAUGGUCUUAUAUGAUCAAGUUUUGAUUUGUGUAUGCCCUAUACCUUAGCAAUGCGUGUUUGUAAGAAUGCCCUGUAAAUUAGCAAUUUGACUAUUUGCUUUUCAGAUAUUAAUGUGCAUUUUACAUAUUUGCAGAAAGAUGUGGUGGUUCAUCUAUGUUUAGAAUAAUGUGCUUUUGUAUGUGUUUAUAUUGCAUGUAUCUUGGAGGCAAAGGAGCAAACUUGGCUGAAAUGGCAAGUAUUGGUUUAUCAGUUCCCCAUGGGUUGACAAUAUUAACAGAAGCAUGCCAGGGAUAUUAGAAGAAUGGCAAAACUCUGCCACAAGGAUUGUGGGAAGAGAUAUUGAAAGGUCUGGAAUGCGUGCAAAAUGACAUGUGAGCGUUCCUGGGUGACCCGUCUAAGCCUCUUCUCUUAUCUAUUCGGUCUGGUGAAACUUUUAUGGUUACAAAAGAGACUAAUACACACUUUAUAGAUACUUUUCAUUUUCUUAUGGUGCCUAAUGAGGUGGACAAUGUACUUGUUUGUGAUGCUUGUAAUAUUGUAAUGUGAAUGAUUUUAAAUGAUGUAUAUAAUAUUUUUUAUAUUUUAUUUUAUAUUGUAUUUGUUUUUGUUGAAUAAAUUUGCAUUAUUAAUUAAUUUUUUUUUAAAUAUAAAAAGGCUAUAGUGACGGUCAUCGACCGUAGCUAUAGACAUCUAAACACGAUUUUGGCAUGACCUAUAGCGACGGUCGCCGAUCGUCGCUAUAGACCAAAGGACCGUCGCUAUAGGUUUUAGCGACGGCUUCUACAGCGACGGUCGGUGACCGUCGCUAUAGCCUAUAGCGACAGUCUUUUGGCCUAUAGCGACGGUCGGCGACCGUAGCUAUAGGUCGAUUUUCUAGUAGUGAUGGCUUUCGGUUCAGAAAUGAACUAAAUUUAAUUAUGAGAUUCUAACGGAUUUUGAUAUGUAGUCUAAAAUUAAUGGUCUGAUUGCUUGAUUGUUUGUGUAUCAUUGGAAUUUCUGUUAUGAUUGAUUGGAUUGCAUGAAUGUUUGAUCACCAUUCAUUUUAUUUACUUGUAUGGAAUUGAAAAACGACAUUUGAGUAUAGUUGUAAUCAUGAUAGCAUGUGUGUAUGAGGCUGAAAUGUUUAGCUUUAUAUUUUGUGAAUCAGAUAGAAAUAUAAUGUUUCUCCGUAUGUAGUAAUAUAAGAGCUUGUGCUUCAAUUCAAUAUUGCCGCAAUUUCACAUAGAAAUAUAGUGAUUUUUGUUUUAUUGAUGAUUACAUAAUUUCUAUUGUAUGUGGAGGUUAUGUAAAUAGGGCAUAAUGCAUUGAAAAAUGGUUAUGUCUACUUUCGUGCUCUUGGCUAAUUUUCCAUGAUAUAUACAUGUAUAAUCUUGCAUGAUGGUAAUAUUUAGAUGAAAUAUGAAAUGAAGUUAGAAUCCCAUUAUUUCCAAAUUUGAUUUAUUAUUCUAUUAUUAUUAUUUUCUUCAUUAUCUGAGUUAGAUUAAUUUAAAAUUGUAAGCCUUCAUUUAAGCAUAUAAAAAAUAGUGAUACGAUUAAUGUAUAAUAAUUUAAUUUUGAAACCUUUCUCCGUGAAUCGAUACUGUUCUUACUCUGUAUUACUUGUUGACCCAUGUAUGCUUGUAUGAGUUAGAGUCCUUUUAUUAAAGCUAAAAAGGAGGCAACAAUCACCCAUUCUGAGUCGCCAAAUAUAUGGUACAAAAAAUAACUACAACUUCAUUAUUAAAAUUGUCGUGCAAAAUACGAAAACAUAUAUACUGUGAGUUUAAAUACAAAUAUUGUCUUCUAGACAAUAUCCACACUCAAAUAAGUCCUCAUUACAAUUAUUGAUACACUAUUUUACAAAAUAAUGAGGACCGCUAAAACAACUAUCUCAAAACAUCACUCCAUACCCCGACUAGUUCCCGUUAUAUUCUCGCCUCCUGAGAAGAAAAGUGGAACAAAAAGGAAAACAGUGAACUUAACUAGCCCAGUAAAGAAUAUUAUGACUAAGAUAAUGUAGAAAAAGUUAUCUUUAGCCUUCAAUAAACCAGAUAAAAUAUAAUGGACAGCAAAUUUUAGAUCAAUAUUCGCAGCGGAAAUAACAACUCAUUAGAAGAGUUAAGUAGAGAAUGAAAUCUACUAUCUUCUAUGAUUUAAAAGUCCAUCAUCAAUAUUUUAUCCCGGUAACAUCAAUCAAUAUACAUCUUUAAUCAAAUAUUCAUCUUUGCACUACAUGCCAAAGAUAUUCCUUUGUAUCACCAGUUGGUCAUAUUCAUCUCAACACCUGUUUAUCUUUGUAGUAUGUGCCAAAGAUAUUCAUCAUGUAAUCGUUCAUCUUUGCACUACAUGCCAAAGAUAUUCAAUUAUAUCAUCAUUUAGGACUGAGGAUGAUGAAAAAUAUCUUAAAGAAAACGAAUCUAGUGAGAUAAAAAGACAAAAAUUAGGGAUUCAUACUUUGGUUUAUCCAAGUUCAAAAAUACUUCAUAAUAAUCAAUUGUGAAGCAAAAUUCAAAAAUAAAGAUCAAAACAUGGAUACAAUCAAAGAUAGUAAUCAUAAUAGACAACUUGGACAAAGAAAAAAAAAUAUUUUUUCUGUGAAUAGUGUCGUAUUCGUGAAUAGUGUCGUAUAUGUGAAUAGUAACCCUGACACGAAAAGAUAGAAAUUUCACAAGAAAAAUCAUACUUCGUGAACAGUACUCGUGAAUAGUACUGUGAUGCCCCCAAAAUAGGUCCACACGACCCAUUCUGAGUUGCCAGAUAUCAUACUAUAAAAAUCAAAUACAACUUCAUUUAUACAACUAUUGAACUAUCGUGCAGAAUACGACCACAGUUAAACUGCGAGUUUUAAAACAAAUGUAUGUAACUCUCAUGGUUCCUCGACCACAACCUUACAAUGGUACUUUACAUAAAAGUACAGUCAAAAACUAUUUUAGAAAUUAAAAUCUUUGAAAAAGUGCUCAAGGAAACCUUCGUACUUGGGAGGCCAUGCGUCUAGCUAGGUUAUGAUAGACAUAUGUCCACGGAAUUAUCCUUGUUUGACCCAAUAGACCCCAAAGAAAAAUGAGAAGAUUACUAUCAUGUUCUUGUUAGAGUUUAUGCCCUAUAGGCCAAUUAUUUGAUAUAAUUGCUUAACGUUUUGAUAUUAUAUUUGAUUGAAUAAAUGAAUGAUUUUAUUAUGGUUUUAUUUACUGCGUUAUAUAAUUGUUAACAUAAUAAAAUUCCUUAGAAUAGUGAUACAAAUUAUAUAGUUUAAAGUAUAUGACUUGAACAUGAGAUUAUAUAAUUACAAUUAGUAUCAUUGUUCUUAAAUGUCCCUAGUCGAGUAUCAUUGUUGAUGGGACAAUAUUGAUGCAUUGAGACUAGUAUGUGGAUUGACUGAUGACCAAAUCUCAUUGGUCAUAAAUAUAUGAAAUAUUAAGUCAAUGCAUAGGUACAAGUUAGAGAACGAUGUACUGGACAGACCCACCAUGAGAAUUCUAUGUGAAGAAUUAUGCGAAGUGUCAUUAGAAAUUCUCAUAGUGACAAUGAUGUAAUGGUCCUCCGACCUGAAAUCACUAUAUUACUACACAGGAAUUUAUGUACUUUGAUAUCAUCAAAUGUCACCUUUAAUGGGGUGGAUUAUAAAGGUGAUUAUUGGGUACAUCAUGAAUCGUGUGAGGAAUAUGAGUGAUCUAGAUGGAAUUUAACCCUCUUAUAUAUUAGGGAUAAUAUCCAUAGGCCUCUUUAUUGAGUAGGACUAUUAAAUGCAUGGCCAUGCUCAAAUAGUGAUUUGUUUUAUAUAGUUUAUUCAUUGAUCGAGAAAACUUAGAUUAAAUUGUGAAGAGUAUGACACAUUCCAUAUGUGAGAACCCAGAUUUUAUGAAUAAAUAUUUAAUUUUCUCGAAAUAAUUUUUUUGAAUAUUAUGGUGUGGAUUUGAUAUAAUGUUAUAGUUGCGGGUAGUAUUUAUAAAAUUUGCAAAGUAUGCAAGUUGUUAUAUAAUAUUCGAUUGGUCAGGGAAUAUUCGGGAAUAUUCGUACAAUGGUACAAUCAUUGGUGGACCCCACAACGGAAUUAUUGUGGGAUUGAAAAAACGAUAAAAAUAUUUUAUAAAAAUAACGGCGGAAGUUUUACCGUUAAUACUUUUGAACUACUCGGUAGUAAAAGUACAGUAAUACGCGUGAUUGCAUAGUAGCACAAAAUAUUGAUUAUUGAUGCUUACGUGAUAAGUCACUAAGUUUCUGUUUUAUUAGUAUUAUUAAUGUAAUAAAACAAAAAACCUUUUUAUAUAAAACAUAAUACUUUUAUAAAGUUAUUCAUUUUAUUAGACAAUAAUUAGAAUAUAUUAUAUUCUAUUAUGCAUAGUGUUUUGCAUAGUAAUAUCUUUUUACAUAAAACAGAAUACUUUUAUAAAGUUAUUUGUUUUAUUAGACAAUAAUUAGAAUAUAUUAUAUUUUAUUAUGCAUAGUGUUACAUAGUGCCUGCAUAGUGUUUUGCUUAAUAAAAUCUUUUUAUAUAAAACAGAAUACUUUUAUAAAGUUAUUCGUUUUAUUAGAUUAUAAAUAAAAUAUAUUUUAUUUUAUUUAAAAGAUUUUGCUUUAAAUCUGGACCGUCCGUUUAAAAGUAAAUCAAUCUGGACCGUUCAUGAAUUAGUUACUAUGCAGUUCAUUCUUCUAUAAAUAGAAGCUCAUUCUUUCAUUAUUUCUUACGAAUUCACUGAAACUCUAGAGAGAGAAACUAUAGAGAGAAAGAAGAAAAGUGUGCUGCUACUUCACUACUCUUAUAUCCAGUACUCUUCUUUCUAAGGUAAGGGAUAUUAUUUGUUGUACCCGUAAGGGGUAUUAUUUCUUUUGUAUUCAUGAAGAGAACUUCUGUUAUUCCAUUCUUUCUUAUUAUAUUGGAAUAAUCUGUCUAUGCGAAGUACCGCAUAUAUGGUGAAAUUCUUCUGUUAUUCCAUUCUUUAUUAUUACGUUGGAAUAACCUGUAUAUGCGAAGUACCGCAUACAUAGUGAAAUUCUUCUGUUAUUCCAUUCUUUAUUAUUCUGUUGGAAUAUCCUGUCGGUACGUAUUACGCCUGACCUGGUUCCAUUAUUUAUUAUUAUGUUGGAAUAAUAUGUCUGUGCGGUCUAUCGCAUGCCUGGUGAAGUCUUUUGUUAUUCCAUUCUUUAUUAUUCUGUUGGAACAUCCUGCCGGUGCGUUUACGCAUGACCUGGUUCCGUUAUUUAUUAUUCUGUUAGAAUAUCGUGUCUGUGCGUUUACGCAUGACCUGGUUCCAUUCUUUAUUAUUCUAUUGGAAUAAUCUGUUUGUGCGGUCUAUCGCAUGCAUGGUGAUUUCUUCUGUUAUUUCAUUCUUUAUUAUUCUGUUGGAAUAACCUGUCUAUGUGAAUUAUCACAUGCAUGGUGAAUGAUCCUUUGUAUUCAUUCCUUAUUAAAUUGUGGAAAUGAUCUGUCUAAGUGGAUUACCGCAUGGCGGGUUAAAAUCCAUUUGCAGUUUCAUAUAUUCUAUUAUACUCAGUUGGUUAAAGUUUUAGCUUCUAUACUCCAUGAAAUUGGUGGAAUAUCCUUGAUAUUUGCGUUUCAUCCAGUAUCUUUUUAUGAAAAUAUUCUUCUGAGCAUUCUUGAAUUUUACUCUACAAAGAAGUAUCAUGUUGACAAUUUGGACGUUAUUGGUUCCUGGAUAAAUUAAUUCUUGAACUUGUUUUAUUGAAUUAUUAUGUCAUUGCAAUCAUCCUCAUGUUUAUAUUAUGUUGAAAGUCAUAUAUGGCCUGUAGUGCAUAAAUGGACUGGUAUGAUUAUGACCAGGGAUUAUUCAGUAUAAUCAUGACCGUAAUGUUACAAAUGAUGUGGAAAAAGUCCUCAUUGGCCCAUAUAUAGUGCAUUGAUGGACAAUUUUUGGUAUGAUUAUGGCUAUGCAUUCUCUUCGGCCAAGGGAGCAAAGAUGAAUUGUUUUAUGGCAUGAUCAGGACCGUUGAUGAAAACAAGAUUAUCUUUGGCCCGUAGUGCAUGGAUAAUUCUUGGUCGUGAUACUAAAGAUUUAUAUCCUUGGCCUGUAGUGCAGGGAUGAUUUGAUGAUGUGGAUUAUUUAUUAAGCUGAGUCUCAGCGAUAAAAGUGAUGAAAAACCUUUUAAAUUAUAGAAGAUAGUAGAUUUUAUUCUCUACUUGAAUCUUCUAAUGGAUUGCUUGUUCCGCUGCAGUUAAACUUGAUGUUUGUUAUAUUGUAUCAAUUUAACACUGUUGAAGGCUAACGAUAAUUUAUUCUACAUUAUCUUAGUCAUAAUAUUUCUUACUAGGCUAGUUGAUCUCACCCUUUCUUUCAUUGUUCUCUUCAGGAAAUGAGAACGUAGCUCGGACUUGUCGGGUAACAGAGUAAUGGUCUUAGAUGGUGCAUUAGUAGUCCUCACUAUUCUGUGAAAUAGUGUAAUAAUAAAUUUAAUGAGGACUCCAUUGAGUGUGGAUAUUGUCUAGAUAACAAUAUUUGUAUUAAAACUCAAAGCAUAUGUUUUAUCGUAUUUUACACGACUGUUGUAUAAUUAGUUUGUGACCAAGCCAAAGAAAUGUGAUCCCUAAUUUGAUUAGGAGAAUAAAUUGCUUCUAAUCUAUAAUAGGAAUGGAUUAGGAAAAGUACUAUAAAUAAGGCUGUGACGCCUCCAAAAUAGGUCCACACGACCCAUUCUGAGUCGCCAGAUAUCACACUAUAAAAAUCAAAUACAAACUUCAUUUAUACAACUGUUGAACUGUCGUGCAGAAUACAACCACAGUUAAGCUAUGAGUUUUAAUACAAUAUUGUCUCAUAGAUAGUAUCCAAACUCAAAUUAUUACAAUGCCAUAUAAAAUACAACAGCAAAUAUUUUAAGACCUCAAAUAAGAACGAGAAGAUUACUAUCAUAUUCAUUCUAAUGAGGUGCACUUUAGACGCUUUCAAAGUCGUGUUCUCAUCACCCUAUGGUUGUUCGCCAAAAUCAAUUAUUAAAUGACGUAUAAAAUAUAACACACGCAUCUUAGGUCCUCAAUACAAUUAUUUGUUGCAAGUCAUGCAGUUUUAUAAUGUAUUGGGAAACUUCGACAGUCUCGUACCAUCACAUUAUAUCCCGGUUAUCCCCGCUCGACUCAGCUACACUCUUAUUACCUGAAAGGAAUUGUGAAGCAAAAAGGUGAACACAACUAGCCCAGUAAAUAAUAUCAUAACUAAAGAUAAUUAAAUUAUUAAUAGCCUUCAUCAGUAAUAAAUCAGAGAUUUAGAACAUAUGGUAGAUGAUAAAACUUUUCAACCAUAGUUGCAGCGAAACGAACAAUCUAUUAGAAGAGUCAAGUAGAACAUAAUGUCUACUAUAUCCUCUAGAUUAAAAGUCCAUCGUUGAUAUUUUAUUCCUGUAAUACUCAUCAACAGUUUUUUUAUACUUCAAACAAAUAGAACUUUCAACACUUGUCUUCACCUGAACCACCAAAGAUGUUAGUUAAAUUCACAAUUCAUAUUUAUAAUAAUGUGAAUUAACAGUUCCUUCUUGCCACAAAGGCUUAAUAGAACGUUUACUCAAUAUCCUUACCCCAAAGGCUGAAGAUAUUCAAAUGUAAUAACAAUGAUCAUACCAAUCAGUUGUCUAUCUUUGCACUACGGGCCAAAGAUAUUCAACUAUUAAACCAAUGGUCAUGAUCAUACCAAUCAAUUGUCUGUCAGUGCACUACGGCUAAAGACAUUCAACUGUUAACUAAUGGUCAUGAUCCUGCCAAUCACAUCAUUGAAUUAUCCAUGCACUACGGCCAAGGAUAUUCGUUAGUAUCACUAGUGGUCAUGAUCAUGUUAUACACCUGUCCAUCUUCACACUACGGGUCAAAGCUAUCAAACAACAGAUCAUCUUUGCACUACAUGCCAAAGAUAUUCAAUAACAUAUCAUCUUUGCACUACAGGCCAAAGACAUACAACUGUUUAACCAAUAACCAACAAUAUAAUAAAGAAUGGAAUAAUAAAAGAAUUUCACCAUGUAUGUAGUACUUCGCAUAGACAGGUUAUUCCAACAUAAUAAUAAAGAAUGAAAUAAUAAAAGAAUUUCACCAUGUAUGCAAUACUUCGCAUAGAUAGGUUAUUUCAACAUAAUAAUAAAGAAUGGAAUAAUAAAAAAAUUUCACCAUGUUUGCAGUACUUCGCAUAGACAGGUUAUUCCAACAUAAUAGUAAAGAAUGGAAUAACAGAAGAAUUUCAACAUGCGUGCGUAAUCCGCACAGACAGGUUAUUCAAACAGAAUAAUAAAUAAUGGAACCAGGUCAUGCGUAAUCGCACAGACAUGAUAUUCCAACAGAAUAAUAAAUAAUGGAACCAGGUCAUGCGUAACGCAAAAACAGGAUAUUUCGACAGAAUAAUAAAGAAUGUAAUAACAACAGAAAUCACUAUGCAUGCAAUAGACCGCACAGAUAGGUUAUUCCAACAGAAUAAUAAAUAAUAGAACCAGGUCAGGCGUAAUACGCACCGACAGGAUAUUCCAACAGAAUAAUAAAGAAUGGAUUAACAGAAGAAUUUCACCAUGUAUGCGGUACUUCGCAUAAACAGGUUAUCCCAACAUAAUAAUAAAGAAUGGAAUAAUAGAAGAAUUUCACCAUGUAUGCGGUACUUCGCAUAAACAGGUUAUCCCAACAUAAUAAUAAAGAAUGGAAUAAUAGAAGAAUUUCACCAUGCAUACGGUAGUCCGCGUAUACAAGUUAUUCCAACAGAAUAAUAAGAAAUGGAAUAAUAAUAGCUCUUUUCAUGAAUACGAAAGAAAUAAUACCCCUUACUAUAUUAAUAUCUCUUACGAGUACAACAAAUAAUAUCUCUUACUAUAAUAAUAAUAUCCCUUACUAUAAUAAUAAUAAUAUCCCUUACGAGUACAACAAAUAAUAACCCUUACUAUAAUAAUAAUAUUCCUUACUAUAAUAAUAAUAUCCCUUACGAGUACAACAAAUAAUAUCAUUUACUAUAAUAAUAAUAUCCCUUACUAUAAUAAUAAUAUCCUUUAACUUUGAAAGAAGAGUACUCUGACUGGUAGGGCGAGGAUAUACUCGAAGAAAACUUGCACUAUGCUCAAAGCUUUCUUAAACUCUAAAGAAAUACGCUCAAUGUGACGCCCCCAAAUAGGUCCAAUACAUCCAACCUAUUCUGGGUCGCCAAAUACAUGGUACAGAAAACAACCACAACUUUAUUACUACAAUUGUCGUGUAAAAUACAACAACACAUAUAUUAUGAGUUUGGAUACAAAUAUAUACCAAAUGUGACUCAUGUCCCAAUAGCACCUUACAUAAAGGUACAGUCGAUAACUGUUUUAGACAUUAAAAUCUUUGGAAAGUGCUCAAGAAAACCUUCGUACAUGGGAGGCCAUGCAUUUAGGUUAUGAUAGAUAUCAUAUGCCCACAAAAUUAUCCUUGGUUGACCUAAUAGACCCCAAAGAAAAACGAGAAGAUUACUAUCAUGUUCUUUCCAAUGGUGAGACUUCUCUUGACAUAUAAAUAUCUCCGUUGUCUCCAAGUGAAAAUUAUACUUCAAAUAAACUCCAAGAUCAUAUAGGUAGUGCUCAUAGAUAUAAUCAGCAAGUGGAUGUGCACAACCCCGUCUUANNNNNNNNNNNNNNNNNNNNNNNNNNNNNNNNNNNNNNNNNNNNNNNNNNNNNNNNNNNNNNNNNNNNNNNNNNNNNNNNNNNNNNNNNNNNNNNNNNNNNNNNNNNNNNNNNNNNNNNNNNNNNNNNNNNNNNNNNNNNNNNNNNNNNNNNNNNNNNGUCUUAUUAUUAUUAUUACUAUUAUUAUUAUUUAAUUCCUAAAGGAGUUUAGAAAUUAAUUAAUAAAUGUACUCUAAAUUAUCCUAAUAGGAUUAGGAGGCAAAUUAAUUAAAUAAGUUUAAUUAAUUAUUCCUAAUAAGAUUAGGGAGCUUAAUUAAUUAAAAGAAUUUAAUUAAUUAAAUAAAACUCAAUUCCUUAAUUGUUAAGGAGGGUUGCCCACAUCUAUAAAUAAGAGGAGUCUUAUUAUGGGUGAGGGGGUUGACUUUUUCACAACAUGUGUAAUUCCAAUUGGUGGGAGAGUACGCCCCUUUUUCUAUAGAGAUAGAAACCUAGGGUUUGAGCCAAAUACCCAUGUUCUUGAAUUCUUCUUCUUCUUCCUUGGUGGAUCACCUCUAGAGGCCAAACACUUGGGUGGCUAACGUUGAUUAAAGGAAGGAACCAAAUCCGUUGGAUUCAAGUUGAACGCGAAAAAGAUUGGAGGUGAAUUUGUACCUGAGGAAGCUCGGAUCUUCAAGGGUAUGAUUCUUAUUCAUAUUUUUUCGUUUAAUUAAUAAUUAUGCAUAAAGGGUGAUCCGGGUAUAUGGUUUGUAAAAUUUUUAAAACUCUGAUUUUCCACGUUUCCGCAUAUUUUUGCAAUUUGAUUGCGUUCAUGAAUAUUACAAACCUAACAGUGGCAUCAGAGCCAAACUUUUAUGCGAAUUAUUAAUUAUUUUAAUUUGAUAUAUGUUUAGAACAAUUUAAUUAGGCAUAAUUUAUUGUAUAAAAUUUAAAUAAAAAAACGGUAAUCCCGGCCUGCUAUUUUUUUUUAUUUCGCUGAGUGCGAUUUUUUUUUUGGGGAGAUCCUGAUUCACGGCUUGGUUAAUAUGAGAAUAACCGUUCCUGGUGCAUCAGAAGCUUGUUCCACGUGAUUUAUAUAUUAUAUACAUAAGUGUAAUCAUUCUCCUUAAAUACCCACAAUCAGGAAAACAUGGAUGUUCACGUGAAUCACUAUUAUUUUUCAAUUGUAGGAUGUUAUGAUAUAUAUAAUCAUUCUCCUUAAAUACCCAUAAUCAGGAAAACAUGGAUGUCACGUGGGACAACAACAUGAUUGACACGCAUAUAUAUUUAUAUUAAUGGGACGGUUAUUAUACAUAUAAAUAUAUAUAUAUAUAUAUGUAUAAUUUUUUUUAAUAAUUUUAUAAUUAAAAUAAAGAGUUUAUUUUAAUCUUGAAAUUGGAUUUCAUGCAACUUAUAUUGCCCAUUAAAUGAUAUUCAUAAAUAUAUGGAAUGAUUUUAUUUAUUGAUACAUAUGAUGAUAUGUAUAAUAAUAAAUGAGAUUGAUUAUAGACUAUUGACCAAUGAGAUUAGAUUUAUUUUAGUUGGAUAUUUGAAUGAAUGGGUUUUAUUAAAUGGGGUAUGCGUACCUCGUCUUUUCUGAUUUUCUUCUUGAUGUAAAUUCUAUCUUUCUCCUAUGUACUUCCCCUUGACUGCUGAUCAAGGUUUCUAUUUAUUUUAAAUAGUUUUGUAAUAGGAAUAAUUAGAAUUAAUUUUGAAGAAUUGGAGAUCAAGGAUCAAGGAGCGCGUGAAGACCCGUUUGUAAUGGAGCCCGAGUUUAAAUGUAAUAGUUAUAUUUAAAUAUUAAUUUUUGCACCCCUAGGGUUUGAUAUUUUGGUUCACUUGGUGGCUCUAGUGAACCAAACUAGAAUAAAAGUCCAUAAUCAAUCCGGGUAGAAUAUAGUAUUCUAUAUGUGCAUGCUUAUACUAUAUAUAUAUAUAUAUUAUAUAUUAUGCAAACAUGUUUCGCAUGUUCAUUAAUAUGACGCGUAUUUUAUAUAUGUAUAUGUGCAUGCGCGUUAAACAAGAUGAGACUAAUAAUAACAAACCCCUCAAUAAAAUUAUAUUAAGUUGUAAUGUUCAAAGAUAUUUGGAAUAUCGAACGUCGCCUUCUAGCAUGAUAAAAAUAAUAGAGCAUUGAAUAUUUAAUAUGAGUUUGUUGUGCACACACAAGGCGAGUAUUAAAUAUUUGAGAUGUUGUUUUUAUUACAUUUGAUGUUUUAUAAGAAAUUGAACAUUACCGUUUUGUUGUGCACACAAAAGUGCUGUAAUUUUCUCUUCACUUAUAUGGAAAUGCUAGGUCUGACUUAACUUAAAUCAUUUUAGUUCGGAUGUGCACACACUUGACCAUUAUGAUUUAAGAGGCAAAAUACAAGGAGUUACAUAGUUGAUGUAAUUGACAAGAGUUGUCUACCUAUUUAUUUAUAUAUAGUUUGUUGUGCACACACAAGGCUAUAUACAUUUGAAAUGGGAUCCUUAUUCUCACUAGCAUAUCUUUAAUUAGAUAUCGUCGAACUAUAUAUUGAGGGUAAUAUAGUUUGAAGAAAAUAGUGGGAGAUACCAAUUUAAAACAAGACCUAAUUUAUUUUGGUAAUUAAUAAAAGAAUGUAUGUUAAAAUGUUGUUAAUUACAAAUUCAUUUACAGAUUUUUACAAUGUCUAAAUUACUAUCACUGCAUAGCAUAUUAGAUGAUUAUUUAACCGGACUAAAUUAAAUGGAUUGGUUAAGGAAAUUGAGAAUAGUUCUCAUGGCUGAAAAGCUAUCUUAUGUCCUUAAUACGCCUAUCCCUGCAAUGGUUGCAGACAAUGCCUCUGAGGAAGAGAUUGCUACUUUUAGAAAGUGGCAAGAUGAUGCACAGUUGGCUCAAUGCAUCAUGCUCGUAUCCAUGAGUAACGAGCUUCACCGUCAACAUGAAACUAUGGAUGCUCCUAUUAUACUCCUGGCACAUCAAGUAGUUGAUGGUGAGGAAAGUAGGACUGAUAGAUAUCAGAUAUCUAAGGAGCUCUUCCGAUCUAGAAUGACCAAUGGCACUAUAGUACAGACAAAAGUCCUUAACAUAAUCAAUUUGAUUGAUCAAUUAGGACAAAUGAGUUUUGUCAUGGAUGGAGAGUUGAACCAAGAUUCAAUCUUGCACUCACUCCCGGACUCCUUUCACAAUUGUUGUGAAUUUUUCAUAUGAACGAGCUAGAUAUCAGCCUCGCUGAUUUGCUUAACAUGUUGAAAAAUGUUGAGAGUCACUUUCCAACCAAGAAAGACCAUGUCUUACUAGUAGGGGCCAAAGUAUCAUCUGAAAAGAAGAAUGAUUCAAAGAAGGUAAAUAGAAAGGCAAAAACAAAGGAUAAUAAGAAUAAAACUGAUACGGAUAGCAAAGGAGUUUGCUUCCACUGCAAUAAGCCUGGACACUGGAAAGAAACUGCGAGAAAUAUCUUGCAGAGGCUAACUAAAGAAGCUUAGUGAAGUUUUGGUUACAAAUACAAAUUUGUUCAUGAUUUAAAAUAAUUUUUCUUUAAGUUAAGGUUCUACUUGGGCAUUUGAUACCGGCUUUGGUUAUCAUAAAUAUAGAUUUAUAAAGGGACCAAGCAGAAGUAGAAAGCUAAACAAAGAUAAGCAAUCCUAUGUGUGGAAAAUGAAGCAAAGGUUGCUGCAUUAGCCAUAGGAACUUAUAGUUUAGCAAUCCCUACGAGCAAAUCUAUUAAGUCAAGAAGUUGUUAUUGUAUUCCAGUUCUUGUUAGAAACAUUAUUUCCAUUUUGUUGUUGGACAAUGAAAUCUUUGGUAUUAUAUUUAAGAACAAUUGUUGUUCUAUUUAUAAUAAUAAUGUUUUGUAUAGAACUGGAAUAUUACUUAAUGGAUUUUGUAUACUUGACUUACGUGAAAAUAAUUUUGUAAAUUGAACAAACUAGUAUAAGAAAAGGAGAUGAUCAUUCAAAGAGUUGAAUGUGUGUAUUUGCUAAAAUACAAGUGUGAAUUAUUUGAAAGGUUCAAAGAAUUCAGAAGUGAAACAAAUUGGCAAAGUAUUAAGAUUCUUUGAUUAGAUCAAUGAAUAAAUACUUCUGCAAUAAGUUUUUAGAUCAUCUCAAAUGGUUUUCUCACAAUGGACGCCUCCAGAUACGCAAUAAUUGAUUGAUGUAUCUGAAAGGAAAAAUCGUACUUUGUUGGACAUGGUGCGGUCCAUAAUGAUUUUAUCGACAGUCCAGUAUCCCUCUGGGGUUAUGUCCUAGAAAUGACUGCAUAUCUACAAAAAGGUAACCUCAAAAUCCGGCCUCAAGACUCCAUAAAAGUUAUGGACAGAGAGGAUUCCUAAUCUUAAGUAUGUUAAGAUAAGGGGUUGUCCAACUUAUGUGAAAAGGUUUCAAAGGAUAAGCUUGGGACAAAAUUUGACAAGCACAGAUUUGUGGGACAUCCUAAAGUAAGUUUAGGGCGUAUGUUCUAUAAUCCUACUUAGCAAAAGGUGUUUGUUGUGAAACACGCUUCCUUCUAAGAUAAAAGUGUUUAUCAUUGAAGAGGCUAGUGGGAGGAUAAUAGAUCUUGAAGAGUUCAAGACCACAAAACACUAUAAGUCAAAUAAGAGGAACCUGUAGAUAGACCUAUUAUACCAUAACCGAAUCAUAAAUCUAGAAUAGUACCGAAGAUACCUAGGAGGUAUGGAUUCAUCAUGGAUGAUGAUGAUGAGGUACGCAUCAUAGAAGAUGAUGAUCCAGAGUUACAUACGAUGAGGUAAGAGUUCUAGUGUGUACAAAAGGGUCAGUGGGAGCUUCAUAAAAUUUCUAGUAUUAUAUAUUGAUAUACUACGGAUGAGGAAUAACAUACCAAUGCUACAAUCAGUAAAGAUAAAGUUGUCUAAACAUUCCUUCACGAAUGAUUUGGGAAGAGUAUCUUAAUUGGGGAUACAAAUCUAUAUAGAUAGAUUUAAAAGGAUACUCGACAAAACCCAAGGAACGUAUAUUCAUUUGAUGCUAAAGUCGUUUAGCAUGGCAAACUCCAAGAGAUGUCUCAUAUUGAUGAGCUAUGGAGUGUAUCUCUCUUAAUAGUCCCCACAGACUCCUAAAAAGAGAGAUCGCAUGAGUGACAAUCAAGUAUGCAAUGAAAUAUACGAGACCUGAUGAUGAUCAGUCAUAUUCUGGAGAAGUUCACUGUGAGUCAGUGAAAAACAUCUUAAAGUACUUAACCGGUACUAAGGAUGUGAUUAAAAUUUAUGGGGGGUCUAAAUUAAAACUAGGAGGCUUAACAGACUCAAGUUUUUUAGACAGACCAAGACGACAGAAAAUCCACUUUAAGGUAAGGCGUUACCUUGAAUGGUGGUGCAGUGAAUUGGAAAGGUUCCAAACAACAAAGAGUUACUGGUUUAGUGAUAAAGACAAAGUAUAUAACUAUAAAUGAAGCUACAAGUUGAUUGUUUGGAUGAAAAGUAUAUUACAGAACUAGGAAUAGUUCCUAAGUCUCAUCUUGGAUCUAAACAAGUGUUGUGGCACUUUCAUUUGAUUAUAAGAAUCAUUGAAAGAUGGGAAUUCACUAUAGAGAUAGUGGACUCUCAAGAACAACAUUACAUAUCCAUUUACUGAAGCUUAUCCAACAGCAGGAUAAUCGUCACUUAGAGAAGAAGAGUAUGAGAUACCAUGACGAUUGNNNNNNNNNNNNNNNNNNNNNNNNNNNNNNNNNNNNNNNNNNNNNNNNNNNNNNNNNNNNNNNNNNNNNNNNNNNNNNNNNNNNNNNNNNNNNNNNNNNNNNNNNNNNNNNNNNNNNNNNNNNNNNNNNNNNNNNNNNNNNNNNNNNNNNNNNNNNNNNNNNNNNNNNNNNNNNNNNNNNNNNNNNNNNNNNNNNNNNNNNNNNNNNNNNNNNNNNNNNNNNNNNNNNNNNNNNNNNNNNNNNNNNNNNNNNNNNNNNNNNNNNNNNNNNNNNNNNNNNNNNNNNNNNNNNNNNNNNNNNNNNNNNNNNNNNNNNNNNNNNNNNNNNNNNNNNNNNNNNNNNNNNNNNNNNNNNNNNNNNNNNNNNNNNNNNNNNNNNNNNNNNNNNNNNNNNNNNNNNNNGUAUAUUUAAUUUAAUCUAUGGUGAUAGAAUAAAUUAAAUAGCUUAAUAUUUAUUAUUUAAUAUUUUGAAAAUAUUAAAUAUAAAUUAAUAAGAGGAGUCUUAUUAUUAUUAUUAUUACUAUUAUUAUUAUUUAAUUCCUAAAGGAGUUUGGAAAUUAAUUAAUAAAAGUACUCUAAAUUAUCCUAAUAGGAUUAGGAGGCAAAUUAAUUAAAUAAGUUUAAUUAAUUAUCUCUAAUAAGAUUAGGGAGCUUAAUUAAUUAUAAGAAUUUAAUUAAUUAAAUAAAACCUAAUUCUUUAAUUGUUAAGGAGGGUUGCCCACAUCUAUAAAUAAGAGGAGUCUUAUUAUGGGUGAGGGGGUUGACUUUUUCACAACAUAUGUAAUUCUAAUUGUUGGGAGAGUACGCCCCUUUUUCUAUAGAGAUAGAAAACUAGGGUUUGAGCCAAAUAUCCAUCUUCUUGAAUUCUUCUUCUUCCUUGGUGGAUCACCUCUAGAGGCCAAACACUUGGGUGGCUAACAUUGAUCAAAGGAAGGAACCAAAUCUGUUGGAUUCAAGUUGAACGCGAAAAAGAUUGGAGGUGAACUUGUACCUGAGGAAGCUCAGAUCUUCAAGGGUAUGAUUCUUAUUCAUAUCUUUUCGUUUAAUUAAUAAUUAUGCAUAAAGGGUGAUCCAGGUAUAUGGUUUGUAAAAUUUUUAAAACUCUGAUUUUCCACGUUUCCGCAUAUUUUUGCAAUUUGAUUGCGUUCAUGAAUAUUACAAACCUAACAUUUAUUACCUGAAAGGAAUUGUGAAGCAAAAGGGUGAGCACAAAUAGCUCAGUAAAAAAUAUCAUGACUAAAGAUAAUUAAAUUAUCAAUAGCCUUCAUCAAUUAUAAAUCAGAGAUUUAGAACUUAUGGUAGAUGAUAAAACUUUUCAGCCAUAUUUGCAGCGGAACGAGCAAUCCAUUAGAAGAGUUAAAUAGACUAUAAAGUCUAUUAUCUUCUCCACGUUAAAAGUCCACCAACAAUGUUUUAUCCCUGUAACAUCAAUCAACAGUUCCUUUCCACAAUCAUAUGAAUAACUCAUAAUCAUAAUUGUGAUUCUAAUUACUCUUCUCAUCUAGGACGAAGAUAAUUUUCAUCACCUGUCUUUACCUGAAACAUCAAAGAUCAUGGUUAUACCAAAUCACAGUUCCUGUUCAUGAUCAUACUAAUAAAUUUAUCUUUGCACUACGGGCCAAAGAUAUUCAUCAACAAGUCAUCUUUGUACUAUGGGCCAAAGAUAUUCAACGACAGGUCAUCUUUGCACUACGGGCCAAAGAUAUUCAACAACAUGUCAUCUUUGCACUAUGGGCCAAAGAUAUUCAUUAAUAAUUCAUCUUUUCACUACGGGCCAAAGAUAUUAAUAUCUCAAAGAAAUACAUAAUCAUUUCAGAAUUUAUAUAAACCAUAAUUAUAAUCAUGUUGAUCAAUUCACCUUUGCACUUAAGCUAAAAAUAUUCAAUUAUAAAUUCAAUGGUCAUGAUCAUACCAGUCAACAAUUCAACUUUUGCACUACUGGCCAAAGAGAACCCAUAGUCACGAUCAUACCAAUAAUCUACCCAUCUUUACACUCAAGUCAAAGAGAAAUUUUUCACCAGGAUUAUAAAAAUGUUAUAUAUGAUAAUAAAAAUAAUAUUAUCAAAAUAUGGAUUCAAUCAAAGAUAGUAACCAUAUAGACAUUUUGGACAAAAAGAAAAAUUUCAUUUUUUGGUGAAUAGUGUCGUAUUCGUGAAUAGUGUCGUAUACGUGAUUAGUAACCAAGACACAAAAAGGUAAAGUUUCACAAUAAAAUCCAUAUUAAUAUUUAUAACACCUUAAUCCAAAUGUUAUAAAUCACUUAAUAAUCUCAUAAUCUAAUAUUAUUAAUAUUACAACAAUAUUUAAUAAUUUCUUAAACUUAUAAAUAAUUUAUUUAAAUUAUUUACACAUUACUAAUUAAUGCAUUUAAUCAUCAUAAAAUGCCAAACUCAUAAGAUUUCAUCACCAAUAACCAAAACCCUCAUAAAAAAUCUGCAUAUACCUCAUGUAUGAUUCUCAAGCCAUAAAAUUAUAUUUUCCAAUUUUCUUCCUUCACAUAACAUAUUUAAUUCAUUUACUCAUAACUAGAUCAUUUUCAUGAAAAAUACCAAAUUAGUUCCAAAAAUAUUUCUUUUCUGGAAUUUAGCAUAAUAUAGUCUCAUAUUGAACAUAUAUUUUUCUCAAAAUUUUUAAAAUUCAUUUACUAUUUUUCAUAUGGCCAAAACUGCCGAAUAUUUAGACUUGUCCAAAAAUUCCAAAAUUUACAGAAUAUACUCAUGUUAUAUACAUGUACUCCCAAUAAAAAUUUUAUCAAUUUUGGAGUUAACCACAAGGGGUUAUAAGGGUUUACUUUUAAAAUAGUCGUUUCUCAUAAAAUCCAUAACUCUUAAUCUAUAAAUCCAAAAAUCGCCAUUUUUGGACAUAAUCAACAAAACUCAUCAAAUUAUCAUUUCAAAUUUUUCCAGAAUUUUUGAAGGUCUGAAAAGUUACGAAACAUGAAAAACAUAACAACCCUUAAAAUCCCUUACCUCGAAAGAGCAGUAUUUCUGACCGGAAUGUAAAGCCGAAGGAACCUUGCACUGAAUAGCAACUCUCAAAGUAUCAAAAUACUCACAAAAUAAGCUUGAUAAUAUAGGGAGAGAAAGAGAGAAAUCUUAUGUUUCUGGUGUGAUUUUCAAUUCUAACUUAGCCCUCUAUUUAUAGGAAAAUGUUAGCACACCGAAGCAGACUUGACUUGCUACCUGAUGGCUUUAUCUGCUAUAUUGCCACCCACCACAUUUGAAUUAGAAUUUCAGCACAUUUCUUCACCAACCAUAGGUGGGGUCCACCAAUUCUAGAAUUCAUGUUCUUUCCAAUGGUGAGUCUUCUCUUGAUAUAUAACUAUCUCCACAGUCUCCAAUUGACAAUUAUAUUUCAAAUAAACUCCAAGAUCAUAUAGGUAGUGCUCAUAGAUAUACUCAACAAGUGGAUGUGCACAACCCUGUCUUAUGAUAACCCGAGGUUGUAUGUCAUUAAACAUCUUAAAUGAUAGUGGCAAAACACUCUUCCAAAGUUGGGUUCACCUCACCAUAUUUGGUUCACCAAAAUUAAAUAUCAAAUGACGUAUACAAUACGACACACUUAUCUAAAGUUCUCAAUAAAAUUAUUUCUAUACUAUUUAGGGAGAACCUCAACAGCUAUAGACCACCGUUCUAUUCCCCUGUUAUCCCCCGCUCGACCCAGCUAGACUUUUAUUACCUGAAAGGAAUUGUGAAGUAAAAGGGUGAGCACAACUAGCUCAAUAAAGAAUAUCAUGACUAAAGAUAAUUAAAUUAUCAAUAGCCUUCAUCAGUAAUAAAUCAGAGAUUUAGAACAUAUGGUUGAUGAUAAAACUUUUCAACCAUAGUUGCAGUGGAACGAGCAAUCCAUUAGAAGAGUCAAAUAGACUAUAAAGUCUAUUAUUUUCUCCACAUUAAAAGUCCACCAACAAUGUUUCAUCCCUGUAACAUCAAUAAACAGUUCCUUUCCACAAUUAUAUAAAUAUCUCAUAAUCAUCAUUGUGAUUUUAAAAUCCUUUUCGCACCAAGGACGAAGAUAAUUUUCAUCACCUGUCUUUACCUGAAAUAUCAAAGAUUAUGGUUAUACCAAAUCACAGUUCCUGUUCAUAAUCAUACUAAUAAAUUCAUCUUUGCAUUACGGGCCAAAGAUAUUCAUCAACAAGUCAUCUUUGCACUACGGGCCAAAGAUAUUCAACAACAGGUCAUCUUUACACUACGGGCCAAAGAUAUUCAUUAAUAAUUCAUAUUUGCACUACAAGCUAAAGAUAUUAAUAUCUCAAAGAAAUACAUAAUCAUUUCAGAAUUUAUAUAAACCAUAAUUAUAAUCAUGUUGAUCAAUUCACCUUUGCACUUAAGCUAAAAAUAUUCAAUUGUAAAUUCAAUGGUCAUGAUCAUAUCAGUCAACAAUUCAUCUUUGUACUACUAGCCAAAGAGAACUCAUAGUCAUGAUCAUACCAAUAAUCUACCCAUCUUUACACUCAAGUCAAAGAGAAAUAUCUUCACCAGGAUUAUAAAAAUGUUAUAUAUGAUAAUAAAAACAAUAUUAUCAAAACAUAGAUUCAAUCAAAGAUAGUAACCAUAUAGACAUUUUGGACAAAAAGAAAAAUUUUAUUUUUCGGUGAGUAGUAACCCUCGAAAGAGCAGUAUUUUGGACUGGAAUGUAAAGCCGAAGGAACCUUGCACUGAAUAGCCACUCUCAAAGUAUCAAAUUACUCACAAAAUAAGCUUGAUAAUAUAGGGAGAGAAAGAGAGAAAUCUUAUGUUUCUGGUGUGAUUUUCAAUUCUAACUUAGCCUUCUAUUUAUAGGAAAAUAUUAGCAUGCCGAAGCAGACUUGACUUGCUACCUGAUGGCUUUACCUGCUACUAUUGCCACCCACCACAUUUGAAUUAAAAUUUCAGCACAUUUUUUCACCAACCAUAGGUGGGAUCCACCAAUUUUAGAAUUUUCCACCAAAAUGAUAAAUUCGGAUACUUCAACAAUUUCUGAUCCAGUCACCUCUUAAAAUUCAUAACAAAUCAUACGUUUAUUUUUAACGGUUCAAAAUUUGUGGAUAUAUACUCAACUUAUAUAUAUAUAACAUAUCCAAAAAUCACAACGAUCCAACGGCCAGAUCAAAAUUAUAACUUGCGCAAUAGAGCUUUAAGAACACCGAUUUGAUUUUUUAAUACCUCCAAUCCGACAAAAUACUGAUAAAAUACCUCAACAUUAAUUCCUUCAUUUAUAACCACAUAAAUAAAUUCAUCAUUUAUAUCUGCAUCAAAUAAAUAUUUUCUUAUCAUAUAAAUCAAUAAUUAAUUAUUCCCAAAUAAUAUUACUGAAUCACAAUAAUGACAACCAGGCAGUUCCCAAGAAAGAGGGGGCUUUCCGAUAAGGAUUUCUCCUUACUGGCGCGCAAUUAGAUGACCAAACCUCUCCUUGACAGAACUUUCUAGACAUUGCCAAUAAUGCUAUCUAAUAAUAUUAUUCAAAUAAUAUGAAUUAUUGAUCUGAUAAUGGGAAAUAUUGUGCAAUAACAAUUAUUGAAACAACAAUAAUAUAAACUAUCAACGCAGCAAUUAUUGAACCAAUAAAAUAGAAUAUUGAACAGUAAUUACUGUAACAAUUAUUGAGUAGUGUCUUCUUACGUAAGAAUCAAUAAUUCAACCAUACUAUGAAAUACCGUGUGCUACUGUGCAAUAACGCGUAUUACUGUAUUUUAACCACCAGGUAUUCCAACAGUGUUAACGGUAACAACUACGCCGUUAUUUAUAAAAACUCAAACUUGUCGUUUUCUUCAUCCGACAGUUAUUCUGUUAUGGGGCCCACAAAUGAUUACGUCGUCGUACGGAUAUUUCCGACAAAAAGAAUAUUCCAAGACCAAAUGAAUAUUCCCCGAUAACAAUGAAUAUUUUAUAACCACUUGCGUAUUUUGAAAAAUUUACAUAUAUCACCCUUAACUUUAACUUGUUAUUAAUUUAACCAUUUACUGAAUAAUAAUUAUAAGAAAAAUUGAAUACUUUUAUUUCAUAAAAUUCAGGGUCUUACACUCAAGAUUAUAGAAGAAGAACUCUCUCUAUAGUUUCUCUAUCUAGAGUUUCAGUGAAUUCGUAAGAAAUAAUGAAGGAAUGAGCUUCUAUUUAUAAGAGAAUGGACUAAAUAGUAACUGAGACAAUCAGAUCCUUCCUAGGAAAGGAAAAAUUUCCUGUUUUAUUACUAAUAAUAAAAUAAAACUUAGACAACCAAAUCCUUCUUAGGAAAGAGAAGUUUUCUGUUUUAUUACUAAUAAUAAAACAAAAUUUAGACAACCAGUUCCUUCUUAGGAAAGAGAAGUUUCCAGUUUUAUUACUAAUAAUAACAAAACUAAUGAAAUAUAAUAUAUUCUAUUUAUAGUCUAAUAAAACAAAUAACUUUAUAAAAGUAUUCUGUUUUAUAUAAAAAGAUUUUACUAUUAUAAUUUCAACCAACGGUCUGAAAAAUUAGUACAUCUCUUCAUGAAAUAAUAUUGUACCCAAAAAUGAUUCUGACCAAAAAGAAAUAUAUUUUUUGGGUGAAUAGUACCCUGUGAAUAGUAACUCAUGAAUAGUACUCUGACACAAAAAGUACCCCAAAUACCUGAGUGAAUAAUACUAGAGUGAAUAGUAACUAGGUAUUUUAUGACAACUUGUCUACUUUGAAAAAUUUUCACAAAUCAACCUUAACUUUAACCUUUUAUCAAUUUAACUAUUUACUAAAUAGAAUAAUUAUAAGAAAAUUGAAUACUUUCAUUUCAUAAAAUUCGGGGUCUCACAAUCUCCCCUCCUUAUGAAAUUUCGCCCUCGAAAUUUACGUACGUACCUGAUAUUCGAAGAGAUGAGAAUACCUUGUUUUCUUUUCGGAUUGUACCUUCCCAGUUAUUUCCUCUGUAUUAUAAUUUUUCCAUUGUUUAUCUCCUGUAUUUCAGAUAUCAUUCUAAAAUAUACCUUCAAAACAAAGGUUAAUUGACAUACCAUAAUUUGUCAACUUAUCAAGUAAACAAUUUCAGCUUAGGUAAGUCACACACUAGCGAAGUAUAUAACUCGUCUCUCCCCUCCUAGUUCUAGACUCUUAUCUCCGCCAGCGACCAUAUCCCUAAGCUCUGUACUAUUUGUGACGCCCUCAAAAUAGGUCCACAUGACCCAUUCUGAGUCGCCAGAUAUUACACUAUAAAAAUCAAUUACAAACUUUAUUUAUACAACUGUUGAACUGUAGGGCAAAAUACGACCACAUAUGAGUUUUAAUACAAUAUUGUCUCAUAGACAGUAUCCAAACUUAAAUUAUUACAAUGCCAUAUAAAAUACAGCAGCAAAUAUUUUAAGACCCCAAAGAAGAACGAGAAGAUUACUAUCAUAUUCAUUCUAAUGAGAUGCACUUUAGACGCUUUCAAAGUCGGGUUCUCAUCACCCUAUGGUUGUUCGCCAAAAUUAAUUAUUAAGUGACGUAUAAAAUAUGACACACACAUCUUAGGUCCUCAAUACAAUUAUUUGUUGCAUGUCAUGCCGUUUUAUAAUGUAUUGAGAAACUUCGACAGUCUCGUACCAUCACACUAUUUCCCUGUUAUCCCCGCUCGACCCAGCUACACUCUUAUUACCUGAAAGGAAUUGUGAAGCAAAAGGGUGAGCACAACUAGCCCAGUAAAGAAUAUCAUAACUAAAGAUAAUUAAAUUAUCAAUAGCCUUCAUCAGUAAUAAAUCAGAGAUUUAGAACAUAUGGUAGAUGAUAAAACUUUUCAACCAUAGUUGCAGUGGAAUGAAAAAUCUAUUAGAAGAGUCAAGUAGAACAUAAUGUCUACUAUCUCCUCUAGAUUAAAAGUUCAUCGUUGAAAUUUUAUUCCUGUAAUACUCAUCAACAGUUUUUUUUUAUACUUAAAACAAAUAGAACUUUCAACACUUGUCUUCACCUGAACCACCAAAGAUGUUAGUUAAAUUCAUAAUUCAUAUUUAUAAUAAUGUGAAUUAACAGUUCCUUCUUGCCACAAAGGCUUAAUAGAACGUUUACUCAAUAUCCUUACCCCAAAGGCUGAAGAUAUUCAAAUGUAAUAAAAAUAAUCAUACCAAUCAGUUGUCUAUCUUUGCACUACGUGCCAAAGAUAUUCAAUUAUAAAACUAAUGGUCAUGAUCAUACCAAUCAAUUGUCUGUCAGUGCACUACGGCUAAAGAAAUUCAACUGUUAACUAAUGGUCAUGAUCCUGCCAAUCACAUCAUUGAAUUAUCCAUGCACUACGGCCAAGGAUAUUCGUUAGUAUCACUAGUGGUCAUGAUCAUGUUAUACACCUGUCCAUCUUCACACUACGGGUCAAAGCUAUCAAACAACAGAUCAUCUUUGCACUACAUGCCAAAGAUAUUCAAUAACAUAUCAUCUUUGCACUACAGGCCAAAGACAUACAACUGUUUAACCAAUAACCAACAAUAUAAUAAAGAAUGGAAUAAUAAAAGAAUUUCACCAUGUAUGUAGUACUUCGCAUAGACAGGUUAUUCCAACAUAAUAAUAAAGAAUGAAAUAAUAAAAGAAUUUCACCAUGUAUGCAAUACUUCGCAUAGAUAGGUUAUUUCAACAUAAUAAUAAAGAAUGGAAUAAUAAAAGAAUUUCACCAUGUUUGCAGUACUUCGCAUAGACAGGUUAUUCCAACAUAAUAGUAAAGAAUGGAAUAACAGAAGAAUUUCACCAUGCGUGCGUAAUCCGCACAGACAGGUUAUUCAAACAGAAUAAUAAAUAAUGGAACCAGGUCAUGCGUAAUCGCACAGACAGGAUAUUCUAAUAGAAUAAUAAAUGGAACCAGGUCAUACGUAACGCACAGACAGGAUAUCCCGACAGAAUAAUAAAGAAUGGAAUAACAACAAAAAUCAUUAUGCAUGCGAUAGACCGCAUAGACAGGUUAUUCCAACAGAAUAAUAAAUAAUGGAACCAGGUCAGGCGUGCACUGACAAGAUAUUCCAAUAAAUAAUAAAGAAUGGAAUAACAGAAGAAUUUCACCAUGUAUGUUGUACUUCGCAUAAACAGGUUAUUCCAACAUAAUAAUGAAGAAUGGAAUAAUAGAAGAAUUUCACUAUAUAUGUGAUACUUCACAUAAACAGGUUAUUCCAACAUAAUAAUAAAGAAUGGAAAUAAUAGAAGAAUUUCACCAUAUAUGUGGUACUUCAUAUAAACAGGUUAUUCAAACAUAAUAAUAAAGAAUGGAAUAAUAGAAGAAUUUCACCAUGUAUGCGGUACUUCGCAUAAACAGGUUAUUCCAAAAUAAUAAUGAAGAAUGGAAUAAUAAAAGAAUUUCACCAUGUAUGCGGUACUUCGCAUAAACAUGUUAUUCCAACAUAAUAAUAAAUAAUAGAAGAAUAGAAGAAUUUCACCAUGUAUACGGUAGUCCGCGUAUACAGGUUAUUCCAACAGAAUAAUAAGGAAUGAAAUAAUAAUAGCUCUUUUCAUGAAUACGAAAGAAAUAAUACCCCUUGCUAUAUUAAUAUCCCUUAUGAGUACAACAAAUAAUAUUCCUUACUAUAAUAAUAAUAUCCCUUACGAGUACAUUAAAUAAUUUCCCUUACUAUAAUAAUAAUAUCCCUUACGAGUACAAUAAAUAAUAUCCCUUACUAUAAUAAUAAUAUCCCUUACGAGUACAACAAAUAAUAUCUCUUACUAUAAUAAUAAUAUCCCUUACUAUAAUAAUAAUAUCCCUUAACUUUGAAAGAAGAGUACUCCGAUUGGUAGGGGGAGGAUAUACUCGAAGAAAACUUGCACUAUGCUCAAAGCUUUCUUAAACUCUAAAGAAAUAAGCUCAAGAUUAUAGAAGAAGAACUCUCUCUAUAGUUUCUCUCUCUAUAGUUUCAAUGAAUUCGUAAUUAAUAAUGAAGGAAUGAGCUUCUAUUUAUAGGAGAAUGAACUAAAUAGUAACUGAGACAAUCAGACCCUUCCUAGGAAAGGAAAAAUUUCCUGUUUUAUUACUAAUAAUAAAACAAAACUUAGACAACUAGAUUCUUCUUAGGAAAGAGAAGUUUCCUGUUUUAUUACUAAUAAUAAAACAAAACUUAGACAACUUGUUCCUUCUUAGGAAAGAGAAGUUUCCUAUUUUAUUACUAAUAAUAACAAAACUAAUAAAAUAUAAUAUAUUCUAUUUAUAGUCUAAUAAAACAAAUAACUUUAUAAAAGUAUUCUGUUUUAUAUAAAAUAGAUUUGGACCGAAAAGAAAUAUAUAUUUCGGGUGAAUAGUAUCCUGUGAAUAGUAUCUCGUGAAUAGUAACUCGUGAAUAGUACUCCGACACAAAAAGUGUCCCAAAUACCCGAGUGAAUAAUACAAGAGUGAAUAGUAACUAGGUAUUUUAUGAUAACUUGUCUACUUUGAAAAAAUUUCACAUAUCACCCUUAACUUUAACCUUUUAUCAAUUUAACCAUUUACUAAAAAGAAUAAUUAUAAGAAAAUUGAAUACUUUCAUUUCAUAAAAUUCGGGGUCUCACAAAGGCUAUGAGGGAGUCUUAUUUGAUACAUGAGAGAAGCUUGGUAGCAAGAAGAUACCAAAACAAUAAAUUGAGAGAAUUACAGUUUGUUAUUCAUGGGUAACCGCGCCGCCAUCUUCGUUCAAUUGAAAGCUUGAAGACUUUAUUGCUUGGUGUGUUUUUGGACAAUAAAAUUAAUUAGGUUUCUAAACCUAAUUAAAGAUAAAUUUUUACUAUCUCAAUUUAUUGUGUAACCUCAAGUUUUAGGGCAUAAAAUUUGAGAGAAUUAUUGUAAGCCCAUUAUUAGUGAUAUAGUGGAGAUUCGAAGUUUGACCUGUUGUUUUUAACUUUUAGUUUUAGAGGGUUUUUCACAUAAAUUUGGUGUCUUACUUGUGGAUUGUUAUUUGUUAUUCUUGUUAUCAUAAUUGAUUUUGUUGAUUUCAUAUUUAAUUGCACAAAAACAGAAAAGUAAUUCCUGGGAUAUAUAUUAUUUUUGGCGUAUUUUUCCCAACAGUGGUAUCAAAGCUUGGUAAUUUUUGUGGUUUUCUUAUGCGAAUUAAAUGGAGGAUUGGACAGCAGAUUGCAUGAUUAAUCUCAAGGCUAUAAAUUAUGCAAUUUGGAAGCCAAUAAUGGAGGAUUUGUUUUAUUACAAGGAUUUGUACGAGCCACUUGAGAACGAUGGACUUAAGCCCACAAACAAGAGUGACGCGUAGUGGAACAAAAUGAAUAGGAAGAUUAUUGGUCUGAUUAGAUCGUGGAUUGAUCAAAGUGUUUUUCAUCAUGUUGCCACAGAAACUAAAGCAUAUGCUCUUUGGCAGAAAUUGGAGUCCAUGUAUGAAAGGAAGACAGAGCAAAAUAUUGCUUUUCUAAUUAGGAAGCUUGUGAAUUCUAAAUUCAAGGAUGAAAACUCUGUUGCAGAACACCUGAGUGAUUUUCAGAGUUUUAUAAAUCAGUUGAGUACGAUGAAGAUGGUAAUUGAUGAUGAGAUGCAAGCUUUGUUGUUGUUGAGCUCUUUGCCUGAUAGUUGGGAGACUCUGGUUGUAUCAUUGAGUAAUUCUGCUCCCAAUGGUAAGCUGACUAUAAAUAUAGUCAAAGAUAGUUUGUUCAACGAGGAACAGAGGCAAAGAGAUACCAUGGUAAUUAGUGUUGAGUCACAAGUUUUUGUUGCACAGAGUAGGGGCAAAAAUAAAUAGGAGAAACUCUCUUGAAGAUGACAAAUCCAGGGGAAGGUCAAGAGAUAAAAAAGAAGUAAUUUGUUUUCACUGCCAGAAGCCGGGUCACAUAAGACGAGAGUGCAGAUUUUUAAAGAAGGAGCAGUCUAAGGAAAAAGAUGAGGAUAAAGAUUCGAUUGUGUAUCUAUCUGAUGUUGAUGUAGCUAUUGUUUGUGAUGAUAAACCCAACUGCCAUGUUAAUAAUUGGAUUAUUGAUUCGGGUGCUUUGUUCCAUGCUACUUCGUGUGUUGAAAUCUUCACAUCCUACAAUAGUGGUGAUUUUGGUCAUGUGCGAAUGGAAAAUAGAAGUGCAACCAAGAUUAUAGGCAUUGGAGAUAUGUGUUUGGAAAAUAACAGUGGUUGCAGUUUGAUGCUAAGAGAAGUCAAACAUGUUCUGGAUAUUCAUUUUAAUUUGAUCUCUGCUGGUAAGCUGGAUGAGAAUGGUUAUAAAAGUUACUUUGGUGAAGGAUAGUGAAAGCUCACCAAAGGGUCUCUAGUGGUGACUAGAGGUAAGAAGGUAUACACUCUUUAUACGAUGCGGGCGCAUGUGAGAGGUGCUGAAGAUGGGGGAGUUAGGCAGAAAAAGGUGUGGUAUAAAGCCGUGCGAGAUGGGAGAAAAGCCUUGCAUGAGAACCACAAGAAAAAAAUUAUUUGCUUUAAAUGGGUACCAAAAGUGAAGAAAUAAAGUGAUAGCUUGUAACCAGGGUAGAAAGUGGUUGUGAAUGAAUUUGGCAAGCAAAAAUAUGUCAAGUUUGAGUUAGAUCAUCCCAUUGAGAAGAACCAUGCUGAUGAGACAAAGCCGGACAUGAAGAUAGAUGAAAAUUCCAAGAAGCUUGAGUUGAACCAAGAUUUCGUUGGAAUUAACUCCGAGUAAGGAGUUGUGGUUGGUGAUCCCUCCUCUUAUGGGUUCGAAGGGGGAGAUUAUUGAGUGUGGGUCCUCACCCAUGAGAUAGAAUCCAAGAUAGAAAAGAAUUGAUUUUCUUUGUGAGCAAGUAAAUAGGUUUACUUGAUAUUAAUCCAAUUAGAAAUUGGGUUAAUGGAAGCAAUAUUGAAAUUGGAGAUUCCAUGAAAGAAAUCCAAGUUGAAAAAGGAUUUACUUGUUAGAUUGGUUGGUGACCAAGACAAAAAAAUGUGAUCCUUAAUUUAAUUAGGAGAAUAAAUUAUUUCUAAUCCAUACUAUAAAUGGAUUAGGAAGAAUGCUAUAAAUAAGGCUAUGAGGGAGUCUUAUUUGAUACAUGAGAGAAGCUUGGUAGCAAGAAGAUACCAAAAGAAUAAAUUGAGAGAAUUAAAGUUUGUUAUUCAUUUGUAUCUGUCGUCAUCUCUGUUCAAUUGAAAGCUUGAAGACUUUAUUGCUUGGUGUGUUUUUGGGUGGUGAAUUUAAUUAAGUUUCUCAACCUAAUUAAAGAUAAAUUUGUACUAUCUCAAUUUAUUAUGUAACCUCAAGUUUUAGGGCAUACAAUUUGAGAGAAUUAUUGUAAGCCAUUAUUAGUGAUAUAAUGGAGAUUCGGAGUUUGACCCAUUAUUUUUACCUCUUAGUUUUAGAGGGUUUUCCACGUAAAUUUGGUGUCUUGCUUGUGGAUGGUUGUGACGCCCCUAAAACAGGUAUACAUCACCCAUCUUGGGUCGCCAGAUACAUGGUACAUAAAUUCAAAUACAAAUUAAUUAUACAACAGUCGUGUAAUAUACAACAAAACAUAGCUGAGAGUUUAAACAAGAAUAUUGUCAUCUAGACAAUAUUCACACUCAAUGGUGUCCUCAUUAUAAUUAUUAUCACAUUAUUCCAUAGAAUAGUGAGGACUACUAAAGCCAUUUAUCCUGGACCAUCACUCCAUUUCCCGACUCGUCCCAGUUAUAUUCUCAUUUCCUGAAGAGAACAAUGAAAGAAAGGGUGCGCUCAACUAGCCCAGUAAGAAAUAUUAUUACUAAGAUAAUUCAGAAUAAAUUAUCCAUAGCCUUCAACAGUAUAACAAUUGAUAGAAUACAAUAGACAACAAGUUUUAGAUCAACAACUGCAACAGAAAUAAGCAAUACAUUAGAAGAGUCAAGUAGAGCAUAAAAUCUACCAUCUUCUAUGAUUUAAAAAGUUUUUUAUCAACUUUAUCGCUGAGACUUAGCUUAAUAAAUAACAUUGAAUCAUCCCUGCACCACGGCCAAGGAUAUUCAUGUAAUCAUCAAUGGUCAUGAUUAUACCGAAUAAUUCCUGGUCAUAAGAGGACUUUUACCACAUCAUUCGUUACAUUACAGUCAUGAUUAUACAGAAUAAUCCAUGGUCAUAAUCAUUCCAAGUCCAUCUAUGCACGUAAGCCAAAGAUGACUUUAAUCACAAUAUAAGCAUGGGGAUGAUGACAAUGACAUAAUAAUUCAAUAAAACAAGUUCAAGGAUAAAUUUUAAAGAUUUAUAAUUUAAUUUAUCCAAAAAUCAAUAACGUCUAAAUUGUCAACAUGAUACUUCUUUGUAGAGUAAAAUUCAAGAAUAAUAUGCAAGUUGUCAUAUUAUAUUCGAUUGGUCGGGAAAUAUUCUUUUUAUCGGGAAUAUCCGUACGAUGGUACAAUCAUUGGUGGACCCCACAACGGAAUUAUUGUCGGAUUGAGAAAACGACAAAAAUAUUUUAUGAAAAUAACGACGAAAGUUUUACCGUUAAAACUGUUGAACUACUUGGUAGUAAAAGUACAGUAAUACGCAUGGUUGCAUAGUAGUACACGGUAUUGAUUAUUGAUACUUAUGUGAGAAAACACUCAGUUUUGUUUAAUUAUUGCUACAGUAGUUGUUGCAUAGUAUCUCACAUUAUUUGAUUCAAUUAUUUUUGAUUUAUACGUUUUGUUUUAUUAGUAUUAUUAACGUAAUAAAAUAGAAAUAUCUUUUUAUAUAAAACAGAAUACUUUAUUAAAGUUAUUCUAUAAAUAGAAUAUAUUAUAUUUUAUUAUGCAUAGUGUUUGCAUAGUGCCUGUAUAGUGUUUGCAUAGUAAAAAUCUUUUUAUAUAAAUAGAAUAUAUUUUAUUUUAUUGAAAAGAUUUUGCUUUAAAUAUGAACCGUCAGAUUAAAGUAAAUCAAUCUGGACCAUUCAUGAGUUAGUUACUAUGCAUUCUAUUUUUCUAUAAAUAGAAGCUCAUUCCUUCAUUAUUUUCUUACGAAUUCACUGAAACUCUAGAGAGAGAAAACUAUAGAGAGAAAGAAGAAAAGUAUUCUGCUACUUCCCUACUCUUAUAUCCAGUUUCUUUUACGGUAAGGGAUAUUAUUUGUUGUACCCGUAAGGGGUGUUAUUCUUUCUUAUUCAUGAAGAGAACUUCUGUUAUUCCAUCCUUUAUUAUUCUGUUGGAAUAACCUGUAUACGUGGCAUACCCUAUAGAUAACCUGUAUAAGCGGUAUACCCUGUACUUGGUAAAAUCCUUAUAUUAUUCUGUCAUUUAAUAUUCUGUCAAAAUAUCAUGUCGGUGUGAAUUUCACCUGACCUGGUUCCAUUAUUAUUAUUCUGCAUUUAAUAUGCUGUCGAAAUAUCCUGUCGGUGUGAAUUUUACCUGACCUGGUUCCAUUAUUUAUUAUUUCAUUAUUUAUUAUUCUGUUGGAAUAACCUGUCUAUGCGAAGUACCGCAUGCAUGGUGAUUUUUGUUGUUAUUCCAUUCCUUAUUAUACUCAGUUGGUUAAAGUUUUGACUUCUAUACUCCAUGAAAUUAGUGGAAUGUUCUUGAUAUUUGCGCUUCAUCCAGUAUCGUUUCAUGGAAAUAUUCUUCUGAGCAUUCUUGAAUUUUACACCACAAAACAGUAUCUUGUUGACAAUUUGGACAUUAUUGAUUACUGGACAAAUUAAUUCUUGAAGUUGUUUUAUUGAAUUCUUAUAUCAUUGUCAUCAUACUCAUGUUUUUGGCCCGUAGUGCAUUGAUGGACAGUUUUUGGUAUGAUUAUGGCUAUGGAUUCUCUUCGGCCAAGGGAGCAAAGAUGAAUUAUUUUAUGGCAUGAUUAGGACCGUUGAUGAAAACACGAUUAUCUUUGGCCCGUAGUGCAUGGAUAAUUCGUGGUCGUGAUACUAAAGAAUAUCCUUGGCCUCUAGUGCAGGGAUGAUUCAAUGAUGUGGAUUAUUUAUUAAACCAAGUCUCAACGAUAAAAGUGAUGAAAAACUUUUUAAAUCAUAAAAGAUAGUAGAUUUUAUUCUCUACUUGACUCUUUUAAUGAAUUGCUUAUUUCGGCUGCAGUUUUUGAUCUAAAACUUGUUGUCCAUUAUAUUCUAUCAGUUGUUAUACUGUUGAAGGCUAAGGAUAAUUUAUUCUGCAUUAUCUUAGUCAUAAUAUUUCUUACUGGGCUAGUUGAGCUCAUCCUUUCUUUCACCGUUCUCUUCAGGAAAUGAAAACGUAGCUAGGACUAGUCGGGGAACGGAGUGACGGUCCAGAUGAUAGCAUUAGUAGUCCUCACUAUUUUUUUAGAUACUGUGACAAUAAAUGUAAUGAGGACUUAUUUGUGUUUGAAUACUGUCUAGAUGACAAUAUUCUUUUUAAAACUCUCAGUUUAUGUUUUGUCGUAUUUUACACGACUAUUGUAUAAUUAAGUUGUAUUUGUAUUCAGUACCAUGUAAGUGGCGACUCAAGAUGGGUGAUGUAUACCUAUUUUUGGGGGCAUCACAGUUGGUAUCAAAGCUUAAGGAUAUGAUCCCUGGCUAAGAUGUGAGAUAAGAACUAGGAGGGGAGAGACGGGGAAUUCCUUUGCUAGUAUAACCUACCUAAGUUUAUCUGGUAUUUAAUUGGUCGGUCAGAGUAUAAGGAUAAUAUGUUAUAUAUUAAUUAACCCUUGUUUUGUUACAGUGUAUGAGAAUGGAAUCUAAAACUGUUAAGAUAAGCAAUGAAGCACAUGAGAGCGUUGAUUCAGCUCAAGCAAAAGGUAACGAGCAACAACACGAUAAUAAUCGUACCGGUGGCAACGGCCAUCGGAGCAAUGAUAACCAUCGUGGGGGAAAUUAUCAUGCCAAGAAUGGUAACCACUUUGGUGGUAAUCAUGUCCAAGAUAAUAGGAGUUGAAAUUUCAAGAAGAGAAGGUCAGUUAGCUCGAUUUUGUCGUAUAGUGAUGUCAAGUCCAGCUGGGAUGGUGGCACCAAAGGCAGAUACAGACAAAACAAAGUUGGUGGUUUCAGGAAGAGCGUUUUUCGUGACUUCUCAAAAAGUGAGUAACCCGAACGAAGUUAGCCCGGGUUAGUUAAUUAUAAAUUCUUGCGAAAUAUAUACCUUAUAAGAUACCAGUUCUACCCAUUAUUUUAUGUCUCUUGCUUGCGCUCAACGUUUAAAUUUGACUCCGGAGAAGUUAGACUUUGACUUAUUGGUUGAAACUUCGUUAGUAGGAGCCUUCGUUACCUCCACUAUUUAUAAAUCUUGUUGAUUCAAAUCGACAUUUUCACGUUACCUGUCGAUCGUAUCUCUUUGAAAAUACUUGCCUUUGAUGUGAUUAUUGGAAACGAUUGGUUAACUACUCAUCAUGCUUUUCUUAAGGUGGUUAGCUUUCAUACUCCUAACCAACCUGCUAUGCGAAUUCAAGCAACCAAACCACUAAAGACAAUCAUUGUCAUAUCAAACCAUAAGUAAAAAGCCCCGAUCCUUUCGUUGUUGACUUCCUUGUGUGGAAUGCACCAAAGCCAGACUUUCCAUAGGCGACGUCAUGAAUGACGAUAGCAAGUUGAUAGGUAUCAAUGUGACGUGCUAUCCAAGUCUUGCAUGAGGGUCACAGUUUUGAAGGAUAUUUCAAUUGUUAGUAAAUUUCUUGACGUAUUCCUGAAGACUUCCUAGCCUACCCCUAGAGCGUGAAAUCGAAUUUUGUAUUGACCCCAGUACAAAAACCCAUUUCUUAAACCCUCAAAUAUUUCUUUCCUUAAAACGGACGUAUAAUGCGCCAAAGACGUUGACUCGAGCUGUUGAAGAUUAUGAUAGUACCAUUCAAUAUCAUCAUGGAAGAGCGAACGUGGUAGCUGACGUGUUGAGUAGAAGAUCGUAUGCGUUUAUGAGUGCGAUGUUGUUAACACAAAGACUCAUUUCGUAUAACUUACAAAUGAUGAAGAUAGAGUUAAAGACUCGAGGGACCCACAUGAAGAUAACGAAUAUACGAGUAGAAUCGACUUUAAUCGAUAAAGUUAAAGUCGUGCAAGCUACAGACCCGAAGCUGAUGAAUACUAAGAAGAAGGUUCAAGAGGGCAUUAUUUUAAAAGCAAAAGUUCCUGAAGAGAGGAAAUCUCAACCCUCAAUUUAAUUGGCCUAUUUGAAAUCCUAGAUCGAGUAGGAACUGUGGCUUAUAGACUCGUUUUACCGCCAAAAAUAUCGCUUGUUCAUAACGUUUUUAACGUAUCGAUGUUAAGUAAAUAUGUGGACGACCCAAACCACAUUAUUAAUUUAGAACCGGACGAGAUAGCGGAUGAUUUAACGUUUGAGAAGAUACGUGUUAAAAUCUUGGAUAAGAAGAAUCGUAUUCAAUACUCAAAGGUUAUACAUCAAGAGUUAGAAUCUGAGAUGAAGUCAAAGUAUCCUCACCUGUUCGGCAUACCAGGUACGCACAUAAAUUUCGAGGGCGAAAUUUUAUAAGGAGGAGAGAUUGUGAAACCCCAGAUUUUAUGAAUAAAGAUUUAAUUUUUCUAGAAAUAAUUUUUUUUUAUAUUAUGGUGUGGAUUUGAUAUAAUGUUAUAGUUGUGGGUAAUAUUUAUAAAUUUUGCAAAGUAUGCAAGUUGUCAUAUUAUAUUCGAUUGGUCGGAAAAUAUUCUUUUUGUCGGGAAUAUCCGUACGACGGUACAAUCAUUGGUGGACCCCACAACGGAAUUAUUAUCGGAUUGAGAAAACGACAAAAAUAUUUUAUGAAAAUAACGACGAAAGUUUUACCGUUAAAACUGUUGAACUACUCGGUAGUAAAAGUACAGUAAUAAGCGUGGUUGCAUAGUAGCACACGGUAUUGAUUAUUGAUGCUUAUGUGAGAAAACACUCAGUUUUGUUUAAUUAUUGCUACAGUAGUUGUUGCAUAGUAUCUCACAUUAUUCGAUUCAAUUAUUGUUGAUUUAUACAUUUUGUUUUAUUAGUAUUAUUAAUGUAAUAAAACAGAAACAUCUUUUCAUAUAAUACAGAAUACUUUAUUAAAGUUAUUCUAUAAAUAGAAUAUAUUAUAUUUUAUUAUGCAUAGUUUUUGCAUAGUGCUGCAUAGUGUUUGCAUAGUAAAAAUCUUUUUAUAUAAAUAGAAUAUAUUAUAUUUUAUUGAAAAGAUUUUGCUUUAAAUAUGGACCGUCAGAUUAAAGUAAAUCAAUCUGGACCAUUCAUGAGUUAGUUACUAUGCAUUCCAUUUUUCUAUAAAUAGAAGCUCAUUCCUUCAUUAUUUUCUUACGAAUUCACUGAAACUCUAGAGAGAGAAAACUAUAGAGAGAAAGAAGAAAAAUAUUCUGCUACUUCCCUACUCUUAUAUCUAGUUUCUUUUACGAUAAGGGAUAUUAUUUGUUGUACCCAUAAGGGGUGUUAUUCUUUCUUAUUCAUGAAGAGAACUUCUGUUAUUCCAUCCUUUAUUAUUCUGUUGGAAUAACCUGAAUACGUGGCAUACCCUAUACAUAACCUGUAUAAGCGGUAUACCCUGUACUUAGUGAAAUCCUUAUAUUAUUCCGUCAUUUAAUAUUCUGUCGGAAUAUCCUAUCGGUGUGAAUUUCACCUGACCUGGUUCCAUUAUUAUUAUUCCGCAUUUAAUAUUCUGUCGGAAUAUCUUGUCGGUGUGAAUUUCACCUGACCUGGUUCCAUUAUUUAUUAUUUCGUUAUUUAUUAUUCUGUUGAAAUAACCUGUCUAUGCGAAGUACCGCAUGCAUGGUGAUUUCUGUUGUUAUUCCAUUCCUUAUUAUACUCAGUUGGUUAAAGUUUUGACUUCUAUACUCCAUGAAAUUAGUGGAAUGUCCUUGAUAUUUGCGCUUCAUCCAGUAUCGUUCCAUGGAAAUAUUCUUCUGAGCAUUCUUGAAUUUUACACCACAAAACAGUAUCUUGUUGAUAAUUUGGACAUUAUUGAUUACUAGACAAAUUAAUUCUUGAAGUUGUUUUAUUGAAUUCUUAUAUCAUUGUCAUCAUACUCAUGUUUAUAUUAUGUUUGAAGUCAUCUGUGGCAUGUAGUGCAUAGAUGGACUUGGUAUGAUUGAAGUCAUCUAUGGCAUGUAGUGCAUAGAUGGACUUGGUAUGAUUAUGACUAGGGAUUAUUCGGUGUAAUCAUGACCGUAUUGUUAUAAAUGAUGUGAAAAUUAAAAGUCCUCAUUGGCUCGUAGUGUAUUGAUGGACAGUUUUUGGUAUGAUUAUGGCUAUGGAUUCUCUUCGGCCAAGGGAGCAAAGAUGAAUUGUUUUAUGGCAUGAUCACGACCGUUGAUGAAAACACGAUUAUCUUUGGUCCGUAGUGCAUGGAUAAUUCGUGGUCGUGAUACUAAAGAAUAUCCUUGGCCUGUAGUGCAGGGAUGAUUCGAUGAUGUGGAUUAUUUAUUAAACUGAGUCUCAGCGAUAAAAGUGAUGAAAAACUUUUUAAAUCAUAAAAGAUAAUAGAUUUUAUUCUCUACUUGACUCUUUUAAUGGAUUACUUAUUUCUACUGCAGUUUUUGAUCUAAAACUUGUUGUCUAUUAUAUUCUAUCAGUUGUUAUACUGUUGAAGGCUAAUGAUAAUUUAUGCUGCAUUAUCUUAGUCAUAAUAUUUCUGGGCUAGUUGAGCUUAUCCUUUCUUUCACCGUUCUCUUCAGGAAAUGGAAACGUAGCUGGGACUAGUCGGGGAACGGAGUGACAGUCCAGAUGAUAGCAUUAGUAGUCCUCACUAUUUUGUUAGAUAGUGUGACAAUAAAUGUAAUGAUGACUUAUUUGUGUUUGAAUACUGUCUAGAUGACAAUAUUCUUAUUAAAACUCUCAGUUUAUGUUUUGUCGUAUUUUACACGACUAUUGUAUAAUUAAGUUGUAUUUGUAUUCAGUACCAUGUAAGUGGCGACUCAAGAUGAGUGAUGUAUACCUAAUUUUGGGGGCGUCACAUCCAAAUUGUCAACAUGAUACUGCUUUGUAGAGUAAAAUUCAAGAAUAAUAUUCAUGUGCCAAAAAUAAUUUGGACAGAAAAAAAUAUAUUUUUCGGGUAAAUAGUACCCCGUGAAUAAUAUCCUAUGAAUAAUACUUCAAGAAUAAUACCUCGUGAAUAGUACCCCAACAUGAAAAGUACCCCAAAUACCCGAGUGAAUAAUAUUCGGGUGAAUAGUAAUUUGGGUAAAUAGUAACUCGUGAAUAGUAACUCAUAAAUAGUACUCCGACACAAAAAAUGCCUGAAUACCCGAGUGAAUUGUAACUAGGUGAAUAGUAACUCGUAAAAAAAAACCAAAAAAAAUGAUAUUCCAUGACGAGUACAAAAGAAAUGAUAUCUCAUACUAGUAUAAUAGAAUAUACGAAACUGCAAAUGGAUUUUCACUCGCCAUGUAGUAAUCCACGUAGACAGAUCAUUUCCACAAUUUAAUAAAGAAUGAAUACGAAGGAUCAUUCACCAUGCAUGCAGUAAUCCACAUAGAUAGGUUAUUCCAACAGAAUAAUAAAGAAUGGAAUAACAGAAGAAUUCACCAGGCAUGCGAUAAACCGCACAGACAGGUUAUUCCAACAUAAUAAUAAAUAAUGAAAUCAGGUCAUGCGUAAUACGCACUAACAGGAUAUUCCAAUAGAAUAAAAAAGAAUGGAACUAGGUCAUGCGUAAUCCGCACGGACAGGAUAUUCCAACAUAAUAAUAAAGAAUAGAAUAAUAGAAGAAUUUCACUAUGUAUGCGGUACUUCGCAUAGACAGGUUAUUCUAAUAUAAUAAUAAAGAAUGGAAUAACAGAACAAUUUCGCCAUGUAUGUGAUACUUCGCAUAGAUAGGUUAUUCCAACAUAAUAAUAAAGAAUGGAAUAACAGAAGCUCUCUUCAUGAAUACGAAAGAAAUAAUACCACUUACCUCAAAAAAAGACUGGAUACUGGAAUAGUGAGGUAGCAUACUUCUCUUUUUCUUUCUCUCUAUAAUUAAUUAAUUGGUGAAAAAUAAUGAAGGAAUGAGCUUCUAUUUAUAGGAAAAUAUAGUUUUGAUAAUUGCACGUUUUGGGGCUCGAAAUAUUACAGUAUAAUACCUUCCUCUUUUCUUUUAUUUAUAAUUUAGUCCUGCAAGUAUUAUCAAACUUGCACCACCUCUCCUAAUAGUAAAUCAUGUGAAUCAAUAGUAAAUCAUGUGAAUCAAUAGUUCUAGACAUGUGAAAAUAUGAAUUACAGUAUAGUACCUCCAUCUAUACCUCCAUUUUUAACUUAGUCAUGCAAGUAUUAUCAAUCUUGCACCAAUUCCCCUAAUAGUAUAUCAUGUGAAUCAAUAGUACACACAUGUGAACAAAUAGUUAUAAUAAUGUGAAUCAAUAUCAAUUAAUUACUCAUUUAUCCGGUUAAUUACCCGAUUGGUCAAUAUAACCUCCAUACAUCAAUUAUUAUCGAAAUAAAUGUCGAUUUCCACUAACAUUAAUAAUCCCAAUAUAAUGGAACUAUUUAUUUCAUCUUUAAUCAACACGAACUUAUACAUCAUUAAUAUUAUAAUUCACAAUAUUUAACAACCAAGUCAGUCCCAAGAAAGAGGGGGCUUUCCGAUAUGGAUUUCUCCUUAUUGGCGCGCAAUUAGGUGACCAAACCUCUCAUUGACAGAACGUCUAGACAUUGUCAAUAUUGCAAAUAAUAAUAUGAAUAACUUUGUCGUCUCAAUUAUUGAUUUAAUAAUAUAACAUAUUAUCCAGAUGAUACUGUGACAAUAAUUGAAUCAAUAAUAUGAGAGAUAUAAUGCAUCAAUUACUGUAGCAAUAAUUGAGUAUAACUGAGUGACUUCUUACAUAAGCAUCAAUAAUUAAUACCGUGUGCUACUAUACAACCACGCGUAUUACUGUACUUUUACUAUCGGGUAGUUCAACAUUUUUAACGGUAACACUCUCGCCGUUAUUUUUAUAAAAUGAUAAUUUUGUCAUUUUCUAACUACGACAAUACUUCCGUUGUGAGGUCCACCAAUGAUUGUUCCGUCAUACGAAUUUCGCCCUCCUUAUGAAAUUUCGCCCUCAAAAUUUACGUACGUACCUGGCAUGCCAAAGAGAUGAGGAUACCUUGACUUCACUUCAGAUUCUAACUCUUAAAUUAUAACCUUUGAGUGUCGAAUAUGAUCAUUCUUAUCCAAGAUUUUAACACGUAUCUCCUCAUACGUUAAAUCUUCCGCUAUCUCGUCUGGUUCUAAAUCAAUAAUGUGGUUCGGGUCGUCCACAUAUUUAUGUAACAUCAAUACGUGAAAAAAACGUUAUGAACACGCAAUAUACCUGGCCGUAAAAUGAGUCUAUAGGCCACAGUUCCUGCUCGAUCGAGGAUUUCAAAUGGGCCAAUUAAAUCGAGGGUUAAGAUUUUCUCUUUUCAUCGACUCUUGCUUCUAGAAUAACGCCUUCUUGAACCUUCUUCUUCACAUUCAUCAGCUUUGAGUAUGUAGCUUGAGCGGCUUUAACUUUAUCGAUUAAAGUCGAUUCUACUCGUAUAUUUGAUAUCACCACGUGAGUCUUCAAAGUCUUUAACUCUAUCUUCAUUAUUUUUAAGUUAUAUGGAAUGGGUUUUUGUGUUAACAACAUCGCACUCGUAAACGCAUAGGAUCUUCUACUCAACACAUCAGCUACCACGUUCUCUCUUCCACAAUGAUAUCGAAUGGUAUGAUUGUAAUCUUCAACAACUCGAGCCAACGUCUUUGGCAUAUGUUACGUUUAUUUUAGUUGAAGAAAUAUUUGAGGGUUUUAGAAAUGAGUUUUGUACUGGGGUCGAUACAAAAUUCAAUUUCACGCUCUAGGGUAGGCCAAGAAGUUCUUCGAGAAUACGUCAGGAAAUUUAUUAACAAUAGAAAUAUCAUUCAAAAUUGUGACUCUCAUCCAAGACUUGGAUAUCACAUGAAAUGAAGGUUUUUACUAACGGAGUUUUAACCGAUAAGUCAAAGUUUAAUUUCUCUGGAGUUAAAUUUAAACGUUGAGCGCAAGCAAGAUAGAUAAAAUAAUGGGUAAAUCGAUAUCUAAUAAGGUAUAGACUUCGUAAGAAUUUAUAAUUAACUAACAUGUGCUAACUUCAUUCAGGUUACUCGCUUUUUGAGAAGUCGCAAAAAACGCUCUUCCUGAAACCACUGACUUUAUUUUGUCCGUAUCCGCCUUUGGUGCCACCGUCCCAGCUGGACUUGACUUUGGCGCACGAAAAAAUCGGGCUAGGUGACCUUCUUUUCCACAAUUGUAACAUGCUUUGGACUGCAUCAUACAGUUUAGACUGAUAUGUCCCUCCACUUCGCAUUUAAAACAUACGACCGACGGUCGUUCUCCUUCCUUUGAAAUGGGUGCUGGUGUUGCUGUCUUGCCAUCAUUAUUGAACCUUCUCUUCUUGAAAUUUCCACUUUUAUUAUCUUGGCCAUGAUUACCACUGAAGUGGUUACCAUUUCUGGCAUGAUAAUUACCUCCACUAUGGUUAUCGUUGUUCCGAUGGCCAUUGCCACCGGUACGAUUAUUAUCGUGUUGCUGGUCGUUACCUUUUGGUUGUGCUGACUCAUUAUCACGCUCCAAUAACUGAGCCCUAUUCAUAACAUCUCAAUAUAAACAAAGUUUAUGAGAAAUGAGGUAUUGACGUAUAUCAGGUUUCAAACCACUUAGAAAUAUUCGCAUCAUUCGAUCCUCAUUAUCGACCAAAUGGGAUGCAAACCGGGAUAACUCCGCAAAUUUAGCCUCGUAUUGUGACACGGUCAUAUUGUUUUGCUCCAACUUGAUAAACUCCACCUUCUUCAUGUGACGAAUACUUUCGAGAAAUUACUUAUCGUUGAACAGCUCUUAGAACUUCUCCCAAGACAUCUUGAGUGCAUCAGGCUGGGUACGUUUUACAGAUUCCCACCAGUAAUCUGCUUCUUCACGCAACAUAAAGGUGGCAAAGGGAACCAUUUGCUCCUCGGAGCAUCCUAAGACAUCAAAUAUCUUGGUGAUCUGCUUUAACCACGUCUCCGCCUUAAGUGGUUCUGCCUUUCCCAAAAACUCCGGUGGUCCCAGCUCGUUGAACUGCUUAGCGGUGACCGACCGUGGGUUGCCAUUAUUUCCACCUAUAUUUUGAACAGGAGUCUCUCUUACCUAAUAUUCCAUAAAUUGCAUAAAGCCUCUGAAUAUCCCAUCGUUCAUCAUUUGAUCAGUGUUGUUAUUUACCUGAGGAUUAUUGUCUUCAUGUUGCACAUUAUCUUGGGUAUUGAUCGUUGCUGACUCAACGGUCUCAUGUGCUUCAUUGCUGAUCUCAACAUUUUCAGAUGCCAUUUUCAAACACUGUCACAAAACAAGGGUUAAUUAACAUAUCACAUAUUAUCCCUAUACUCUGACCGACUAAUUAAAUACCAAAUAAACUUAGGUAUGUCAUACUAGCGAAGGAAUUCCCCAUCUUUCCCCUCCUAGUUCUUGUCUCACAUCUCAGCUAGGGAUCAUAUCCCUAAGCUUUGAAACCAACUAUGACACCCCCAAAACAAGUAUACAUCACCCAUCUUGAGUCGCCAGAUAUAUGGUAUAUAAAUUCAAAUACAACUUAAUUAUACAACAGUCAUGUAAAAUACGACAAAACAUAGCUAAGAGUUUAAACAAGAAUAUUGUCAUCUAGACAAUAUCCACACUCAAUGGUUUUCUCAUUACAAUUAUUAUCACAUUAUUUCGUAGAAUAAUGAAGACUACUAAAGCAUUUAUCCUGGACCAUCACUCCAUUCCCCGACUCGUCCCAGCUAUAUUCUCAUUUCCUGAAGAGAACAAUGAAAGAAAGGGUGAGCUCAACUAGCCCAGUAAGAAAUAUUAUGACUAAGAUAAUGCAUAAUAAAUUAUCCAUAGCCUUCAACAGUAUAAAAACUGAUAGAAUACAAUAGACAACAAGUUUUAGAUCAACAACUGCAGCGGAAAUAAGUAAGCCAUUAAAAGAGUCAAGUAGAGCAUAAAAUCUACUAUCUUCUAUGAUUUAAAAAGUUUUUCAUCAACUUUAUCGCCGAGACUCAGCUUAAUAAAUAUAAUCGAAUCAUCCCUGCACCACGGCCAAGGAUAUUCAUGUAAUCAUCAAUGGUCAUGAUUAUACCGAAUAAUCCCUGGUCAUAAUCAUACCAACAACUGUCCUUUAAUGAACUACAGGCCAAUGAAGACUUUUACCACAUCAUUCGUUACAUUAUGGUUAUGAUUAUACAGAAUAAUCCCUGGUCAUAAUCAUACCAAGUCCAUCUAUGCACGUAAGCCAAAGAUGACUUUAAUCACAAUAUAAGCAUGAGGAUGAUGACAAUGACAUAAUAAUUCAAUAAAACAAGUUCAAUGAUAAAUUUUAAAGAUUUAUAAUUUAAUUUAUCCAAAAAUCAAUAACGUCUAAAUUGUCAACAUGAUACUGCUUUGUAGAGUAAAAUUCAAGAAUAAUAUUCACGUACCAAAAAUAAUUUGGACAAAAAAGAAAUAUAUUUUUCGAGUAAAUAGUACCCUGUGAAUAGUACUUCAGGAAUAGUACCUCGUGAAUAGUACCCCGACAUGAAAAGUACCCCAAAUACCCGAGUGAAUAAUAUUCGGAUGAAUAGUAAUUUGGGUGAAUAAUAACCCAUGAAUAGUACUCCGACACGAAAAGCGCCUCAAAUACCCGAGUGAAUAAUACUAGAGUGAAUAGUAACCGGGUGAAUAAUAACCCUUGAAUAGUAACUUGUAAAAAAAAAUCAAAGAAAAUGAUAUUCCAUGACGAGUAAAAAAAAAUGAUAUCUCAUACUAGUAUAAUAGAAUAUACGAAAUUGCAAACGGAUUUUCACCCGUCAUGCGGUAAUCCGCGUAGACAGAUUAUUUCCACAAUUUAAUAAAGAAUGAAUACGAUGGAUCAUUCACCAUGCAUGCGGUAAUCCACAUAGACAGGUUAUUCCAACAGAAUAAUAAAGAAUGGAAUAACAGAAGAAUUCACCAGGCAUGUGAUAGACCGCACAGACAGAUUAUUCCAACAGAAUAAUAAAUAAUGGAACCAAGUCAUGCGUAAUAUGCACAGACACGAUAUUCCAACAGAAUAAUAAAGAAUGGAACCAGGUCAUGCGUAAUCCACACAGACAGGAUAUUCCAAUAAAAUAAUAAAGAAUGGAAUAACAAAAGAAUUUCACCAUGUAUGCAGUACUUCGCAUAGACAGGUUAUUCCAACAUAAUAAUAAAGAAUGGAAUAACAGAAGAAUUUAACCAUGUAUGCGUUACUUCGCAUAGACAGGUUAUUCCAACAUAAUAAUAAAGAAUGGAAUAACAGAAGCUCUCUUCAUGAAUACGAAAAAAUAAUACCUCUUACCUCAAAAGAAGACUAGAUACUAGAAUAGUGAUGUAACAGACUUCUCUUCUUCUUUCUCUCUAUAAUUUCUCUCUAUAAUAAUUGCUCAAUAGCUUUAGUGAAUUGGUGAUAAAUAAUGAAGGAAUGAGCUUCUAUUUAUAGAAAAAUAUUGUUUUGAUAAUUGCAGGUUUUGGGGCUCAAAAUAUUACAGUAUAAUACCUUCCUCUUUUCCUUUAUUUUUAAUUUAGUCCUGCAAGUAUUAUCAAACUUGCACCACCUCCCCUAAUAGUAAAUCAUGUGAAUCAAUAGUAAAUCAUGUGAAUCAAUAGUUCUAGACAUGUGAAAAUAUGAAUUACAGUAUAGUACCUCCAUCUAUACCUCCAUUUUUAACUUAGUCAUGCAAGUAUUAUCAAUCUUGCACCAACUCCCCUAAUAGUAAAAGAAUGUGAAUCAAUAGUACACACAUGUGAACAAAUAGUUAUAAUCAUGUGAAUCAAUAUCAAUUAAUUGCUCAUUUAUCUGGUUAAUUAUCCGAUUGGUCAAUAUAACCUCCAUACAUCAAUUAUUAUCGAAAUAAAUGUCGAUUUCUACUAACACUAAUAAUCCCAAUAUAAUGGAAUUAUUUAUUUCAUCUUUAAUUAACACGAAAUUAUUCAUCAUUAAUAUUAUAAUUCACAAUAUUUAACAACCAAGUCAUUCCCAGGAAAGAGGGGGCUUUUUGAUAAGGAUUUCUCCUUAUUGGCGCGCAAUUAGGUGACCAAACCUCUCCUUGACAGAACAUCUAGACAUUGUCAAUAUUACAAAUAAUAAUAUGAAUAACUUUGUCGUCCCAAUUAUUGAUUUAAUAAUAUAACAUAUUAUGCAGAUGAUACUGUGACAAUAAUUGAAUCAAUAAUAUGAGAGAUAUGAUGCAUCAAUUACUGUAGUAAUAAUUAAGUAUAACUGAGUGACUUCUUACGUAAGCAUUAAUAAUUAAUACCAUGUGCUACUAUGCAACCACACGUAUUACUGUACUUUUACUAUCGGGUAGUUCAACAUUUUUAACGGUAACACUCUCGCCGUUAUUUUUGUAAAAUGAUAAUUCUGUCGUUUUUUAACUACGACAAUACUUCCGUUGUGGGGUCCACCAAUGAUUUUUUCGUCGUACGAAUAUUCCCAGUUAAAACGAAUAUUCUCCGACCAAUCGAAUAUUAUAUAACAACUUGCUUACUUUGAAAUAUUUAUAAAUAUUACCCACAACUAUAACAUUAUAUCAAAUUCAUACCAUAAUAUCAAAAAAAAUAUUUCGAAAAAUUUAAAUCUUUAUUCAUAAAAUUUGGGGUCUCACAAUGGUUAUUUGUUAUUUUUUGUUCUCAUAAUUGAUUUUGUUGAUUUCAUAUUUAAUUGCAUUAAGACAGAAAAGUAAUUCCUGGGAUACAAAUUAUUUUUGGCGUACUUUUCCCAACAGUGGUAUCAAAGCUUGGUAAUUUUUUUGGUUUUCUUAUGCUAAUUAAAUAGAGGAUUGGACAACAGGUUGCAUGAUUAAUCUCAAGGCUACAAAUUAUGCAAUUUGGAAGCCAAGAAUACAAGAUUUGCUUUAUUGCAAGGAUUUGUACAAGCCACUUGAGAACGAUGGAGUUAAUCCCACAAACAAGAGUGACGCGCAGUGGAACAAGAUGAACAGGAUGAUUGUUGGUCUGAUUAGAUCAUGGAUUGAUCAAAGUGUGUUUCAUCAUAUUGCCACGAAAACUAAAGCCUAUACUCUUUGACAAAAAUUGGAGUCCAUGUAUGAAAGGAAAACGGCACAAAAUAAAGCUUUUCUGAUUAGGAAGCUUGUGAAUUCUAAAUUCAAGGAUGGAAACUCCAUUACAGAACACCUGAGUGAUUAUCAGAGUUUGAUAAAUCAGUUGAGUGCGAUGAAGAUGGUAAUUGAUGAUGAGAUGCAGGCUUUAUUGUUGUUGAGCUCUUUUCCUGAUAGUUGGGAGACUCUGGUUGUAUCACUAAGUAAUUCUACUCCCAAUGGUAUGCUUACUAUGGAUACAGUCAAAGAUAGUUUGUUCAACAAGGAACAGAGGCGAAGAGAUACCAUGGUGAUUAGUGCUGAGUCACAAGUUUUUGUCGCGCAGAGUAGGGGCAAAAAUAAAGGGAGAAACUCUCUUUAAGAUGACAAAUCUAGGGGAAGGUCAAGAGAUAGAAAAGAAGUAAUUUGUUUUCACUGUCAGAAGUCGGUUCACAUAAAACGAGAGUGCAAAUUUUUAAAGAAGGAGCAGUCUAAGGAAAAAGAUGAGGAUAAAGAUUUGAUUGUGUAUCUACCUGACAUUGAUAUACGUGACGCCCCCAAAAUAGGUCCAUUCCACCCAACCUAUUCUAAGUCACCAAAUACAUGGUACAGAAAAUAACUACAACUUUAUUACUACACUUGUCGUACAAAAUACAAAAACACAUAUGUUGUGAGUUUAAAUACCAGCUGUGACUCAUGUCCCAACUUGUGUCAGCACUUCAUAUUUAUACAUUACAUAAAAGUACAGUCAAUAACUAUUUUAGAGAUUAAAAUCUUUGGGAAGUGCUCAAGGAAACCUUCAUACAUGGGAGGUCAUGCAUUUAAGUUAUAAUAGAUAUCAUAUGCCCAUAGAAUUAUCUUUGGUUGACCCAAUAGACCCCAAAGAAAAACGAGAAGGUUACUAUCAUGGUCCUUCCAAUGGUGAGUCUUCUCUUUACAUAUAACUAUCUCCACCGUCUGCAAUUGAACAUUAUGUUUCAAAUAAACUCCAAGAUCAUAUAGGUAGUGCUCGUACAUAUACUCAGCAAGUGGAUGUGCACAACCCUGUCUUAUGAUAACACGAGUUUGUAUGUCAUAGGACAUCUUGUAUGACAGUGGCAAAACACCCUUCCAAAGUUGGGUUCACUUCACCCUAUUGUUGUUCACCAAAAUCAAUUAUUUCGUGACGUAUAAUAUACGACACACAAAUCUUAGGUCCUUAAUACAAUUAUAUAUUGUAUGUCAUGUCAUUUAUAAUGUGUUGAGAAACUUUGACAGUCUCGGACCACCACACUAUUCCCCUGUUAUCCCCGCUCGACCCAGCUACACUCUUAUUACCUGAAAGGAAUUGUGAAGCAAAAGGGUGAGCACAACUAUCUCAGUAAAGAAUAUCAUGACUAAAGAUAAAUAAAUUAUCAAUAGCCUUCAUCAGUAAUAAAUCAGAGAUUUAGAACAUAUGGUAGAUGAUAAAACUUUUCAACCAUAUUUGCAGCGAAAACGAGCAAUCCAUUAGAAGAGUCAAAUAGACUAUUCAAAUAGACUAUAAAGUCUAUUAUCUUCUCCACGUUAAAAGUCCACCAACAAUGUGUUAUCCCUGUAAUAUCAAUCAACAGUUCCUUUCCACAAUCAUAUAAAUAACUUAUAAUCAUAAUUGUGAUUCUAAUUACUCUUCUCAUCCAGGACGAAGAUAAUUUUCAUCACCUGUCUUUACCUGAAACAUCAAAGAUCAUGGUUAUACCAAAUCACAGUUUAUGUUCAUAAUCAUACUAAUAAAUUCAUCUUUGCACUACGAGCCAAAGAUAUUCAUCAACAGUUCAUUUUUGCACUACAUGCUAAAGAUAUUCAGCAACAGGUCAUCUUUGCACUACGGACCAAAGAUAUUCAACAACAGAUCAUCUUUGCACUACAGGCCAAAGAUAUUCAACAACAGGUCAUCUUUGCACUACGGACCAAAGAUAUUCAACAACAGGUCAUCUUUGCACUACGGGCCAAAGAUAUUCAUAUCUCAAAUAAAUAUAUAAUCAUUUUAGAAUUUAUAUAAACCAUAAUUAUAGCCAUGUUGAUCAAUUCACCUUUGCACUUAAGCUAAAAAUAUUCAAUUAUAAAUUCAAUGGUCAUGAUCAUACCAGUCAGUGAUUUAACUUUGCACUACUGGCUAAAGAGAACCCAUAGUCACAAUCAUACCAAUAAUUUACCCAUCUUUAAACUUAAGUCAAAGAGAAAUUUCUUCACCAGGAUUAUAAAAAUGUUAUAUAUGAUAAUAAAACAAUACGAUCAACAACUGCAUUUAACUUCAAGAGUAAUAUUCAUAAAUCAAUGAUUUCAUAACACCUUAAUCCAAAUGUUAUAAAUCACUUAAUAAUAUUAAAAUCUUAAUAUUAUUAAUAUUACAACAAUAUUUAAUAAUUUCUUAAACUUAUAAACAAUUUAUUUAAAUUAUUUACACUUUACUAAUUAAUGCAUUUAUUCAUCAUAAAAUUCCAAACUCAUAAGAAUUCAUCACCAAUAACCAAAACCCUCAUCAAAAAUCUUCAUAUACCUCAUAUAUGAUUCUCAAGCCAUAAAAUCAUAUUUUCCAAUUUUCUUCUUUCAUAUAACAUAUUUAAUUCAUUUACUCAUAACUAGUCUAUUUUCAUAAAAAAUACCAAAUCAGUUCCAAAAAUAUUUUUUUCUGGGAUUUAAUAUAACAUAGUCCCAUAUUGAACAUAUAUUUUUCUCGAAAUUUUUAAAAUUCAUUUACUAUUUUUCAUAUGGCCAAAACUGCUGAAUAUUUAGACAUUUAUCAUAAAUUGUACUUUUGUCCAAAAAUUCCGAAAUUUACAGAGUAUACUGAUAUUAUAUAGAUGUACCCCCAAUAAAAAUUUCAUCAAUUUUGGAGUUAACCACAAGGAGUUAUAAGAGUUUACUUUUAAAAUAGUCUUUUCUCAUAAAAUCCAUAACCCUUAAUCUCUACAUCCAAAAAUCGCUAUUUUUGGACACAAUCAACAAAACUCAUCAAAUUAUCAUUUCAAUUUUUUUCCAGAAUUUUUGAAGCUCUGAAAAGUUACGAAACAUGAAAAACAUAACAACCCUUAAAAUCCCUUACCUCGAAAGAGCAGUAUUUCUGACCGGAAUGUAAAGCCGAAGGAACCUUGUACUGAAUAACAACUCUCAAAGUAUCAAAAUACUCACAAAAUAAGCUUGAUAAUAUAGGGAGAGAAAGAGAGAAAUCUUAUGUUUCUAGUGUGAUUUUCAAUUCUAACAUAGCCCUCAAUUUAUAAGAAAAUGUUAGCACACCGAAGCAGAGUUGACCUAUUACCUGAUGGCUUUACCUGCUACUAUUGCCACUCACCACAUUUGAAAAUUUAAUUGAACACAUUUCUCACCAACCAAUUCUAGAAUUUUCCAAAAUGUUUUAUCAUUUAAACAAUAAUCAGAAACUUUAAUAAUUCAUAGAAAAUAGCCCGUUUAUCAGAAAAAUACGAAUCUUUUGUCCAUUCCACACAAAAUUGAAUUCUCUACAACUUUGCAGAAGAAAGUUUUUUUUCAAAUUCUAAACAGAAAAUAUCUGAAAUCCACAAACGGGUAAUUUUUAAUACCUCCAAUCUGACAAAACACCUCAGCAUUAAUUCCUUCAUUAUAGCCACAUAAAUAAAUCCAUCAUUUAUAUUCACAGCAAAUAAAUAUUUCUUUAUCAUAUAAAUCAAUAAUUAAUUAUUCCCAAAUAGUAUUACAGAAUCAUAAUUAUGAUAACUAGGCAGUUCCUAGGAAAGAGGGGGCUUUCCAAUAAGGAUUUCUCCCUAUUGGCGCGCAAUUAGGUGACCAAACCUCUCCUUGACAGAACUUCUAGACAUUGUAAAUAUUGAAAUUUAAUAAUAUGAAUAACUUUGUCAUUUUCUCAAUCCGACAAUAAUUCCGUUGUGGGGUCCACCAAUGAUUGUGUCGUUGUACGAAUAUUUCCUGACAAAAAGAAUAUUCCCCGACCAAUCGAAUAUUUAUAACAACUUGCAUACUUUGAAAAAAUUUUAAAUACUACCCACAACUAUAAUACUAUUUCAAAUCCAUACCAUAAUAUAAAAAAAUAUUUUGAGAAAAUUAAAUAUUUAUUCAUAAAAAUUUGGGGUCUCACAAUAUAGCUAUUGUUUGUGAUGAUAAACUCAAGUGUCAUGUUAAUGAUUGGAUUAUUGAUUUGGGUGCUUCGUUCCAUGCUAUUUCACGUGGUGAAAUCUUCACAUCCUAUAGUACUGGUGAUUUUGGUCAUGUGCGGAUGGAAAAUGAAAGUGCAUCCAAGAUUAUAGGCAUUGGAGAUAUUUGUUUGGAAACUAAUAGUGGUUGCAGGUUGAUGCUGAGAGAAGUCAGACAUGUUCCGAAUAUUCAUUUUAAUUUGAUCUCUGCUGGUAAGCUGGAUGAGAAUGGUUAUAAAAGUUACUUUAGUGAAGGUCAGUGGAAGCUCACCAAAGGGUCUCUAGUGAUGACUAGAGGUAAGAAGGUAAACACUCUUUAUACGAUGCGGGCGCAUGUGAGAGGUGCUGAAGAUGGGGGAGUUAGGUAUAAAAAGGUGUGGUACAAAGCCGUGCGAGAUGGGAGAAAAGUCUUGCAUGAGAACCACAAGAAGAAAACUAUUUUCUUUAAAUGGGUACCAAAAGUGAAAAAAAAAAGUGAUAGCUUGCAACCAGGGUACAAAGCGGUUGUGAAUGAAUUUGACAAGCAAAAAUCUGUCAAGUUUGAGUUAGAUCCUUCCAUUGAGAAGAACUAUGACGAUGAGACAAAGUCGGACAUGAAGAUAGUUGAAAAUUCCAAGAAGCUUGAGUUGAGCCAAGAUUUCGUUGGAAUUAACUCCGAGUAAGGAGUUGUGGUUGGUGAUCCCUCCUCUCAUUUGUUCAAAGGGGGAGAUUGUUGGGUGUGGGUCCUCACCCAUGAGAUAGAAUUCAAGAUAGAAAAGAAUUAAUUUUCUUUGUGAGCAAGUAAGUGGAUUUACUUGAUAUUAAUCCAAUUAAAAAUUGGGUUAAUGGAAGCAAUAUUGGAAUUGGAAAUUCCAUGAAAGAAAUCCAAGUUGAAAAAUGAUUUACUUGUUAGAUUGGUUGGUGAUCAAGACAAGGAAAUGUGAUCCCUAAUUUGAUUAGGAGAAUAAAUUGCUUCUAAUCCAUAAUAUGAAAGGAUUAGGAAGAGUACUAUAAAUAAGGCUAUGAGGGAGUCUUAUUUGAUACAUGAGAGAAGCUUGGUAGUAAGAAGAUACCAAAAGAAUAAAUUGAGAGAAUUACAGUUUGUUAUUCGUGGGUAUUCGCCGCCAUCUCCGUUCAAUUGAAAGCUUGAAGACUUUAUUGCUUGGUAGGUUUUUGGGUGGUGAAGUUAAUUAGGUUUCUCAACCUAAUUAAAGAUAAAUUUGUACUUUCUCAAUUUAUUGUGUAACCUCAAGUUUUAGGGCAUAAAACUUGAGAGAAUUAUUGUAAGCCCAUUAUUAGUGAUAUAGUGGAGAUUCAGAGUUUGACCCGUUAUUUUUACCUCUUAAUUUUAGAGGGUUUUCCACGUAAAUUUUUUCUUGCUUAUAGAUGGUUAUUUUUUAUUUUAGUUCUCAUAAUUAAUUUUGUUGAUUUCAUAUUUAAUUGCACAAAGACAAAAAAGUAAUUCAUGUGAUAUAGAUUAUUUUUGGCGUACUUUUCCCAACAUGUACUACUUAUUAAAAUCUUGUUAUUUCAUAAUUGUUAAUAGUUAAUAUAAUAAUAAUUUUACCCUUUGAGGUAUAAAAAAUUAAGCCCUGAAUAUAUAUUAAUACCUUGAACUUUAAGUUUAUUUUAUAAUCAUCAAUAUUCAAUAUAAUUAAAUUUUUUAAACCAAAAAGGGUAAAAUUGUCAUUAAAUUUACUUUAAAAAAUUAAUAAUGAUCUUAUAUUUACCCUUUUUCGUACAAAAAUGAAUUGAAUAAAUAUUAAAAUAAUACUCAAUACUACACAUAAGUAUUUUUUUAGUCACGUGUCGUUUUAAUAUCAUCAAUUUUUUGAUGCGACUCUAUCAAUUAGACGUAAUUAGAAAAAAAAUUAAAAAUUUAAUCCCCUAAUUAAAAAAUUGAGAAGACAAUACUCAAAGUGGACCAAAAUUAAAAAUUCAGGAUAUUAAUCUAUAAUUAGUUCUAAUCCAAAAUAAGGAUGAACUUUUUUGUCCCAAGUGUGUGUUUUAUGGUUAGGUUUUUGGGAUGGGUUUCUAGAUGGUUUUUGGGAUGUCUACUAUUCUUUGCGAAUUUUUAAGUUUUUAUGGUUUGUGUUGUGUUUUUUUGGCUGUGUACAAUCUUUAUAAAAUAUCUUUUUGCCAAAAAAAUAAGAAAAAAAAUAAUAGUAAUUCUUUAUUGCAUAUUAUUAUUUCAAAAUUACAUUUAGCAAGGAUAAAUACACAAACAUGUGUGGUCGUUUUCACAUUUAAAAUUAGCGAGUUCUAAAUAGUGACGCUGACAAAUACAUAUAUUUGCACAUGAGCUGUCAGUGCACCCUUGAGCCUUGUUCUUUUCUGUGCAAAACUGAUCCUCUCUCUUCACAGAUCCUAUUAAACCUGUUAGAAAAUCAAACAUUGUGACGAAAACCUGCCAAAUACACACAAACACACACACACACACACACACACACACACACACAUAUAUAUAUAUAUAUAUAUAUAUAAGGUAUUUACAAAAUAAAAAAGAAGAAAGUAUUUUAUUAUAUACUCUACAUGUUCCAGAAAAAGAAAUUUAUUUGAAAAAUUUUGCCUCAUAAAAGGAUGUCUCUUUCUAUUGAUAAUUUCCUCAAAUUAUAAUUUCAUUAUCAUGUGAAUACAAUUAAUUAACAAAUUAUUAUUUUAGGGAUAAAUAUGAAACAAUAUAAUACUUUCUCAAAAUAAAUUCUACAAACAAUAUUUUUUAGAACGGAAGGAAUUUUGUGUGAAUAUACUUGUACGAAUUACGGAAUUAUGGCAAUAUAUAUGUCGAUAAUAUAUACAUAUCAAUUAGAACAGCGUAUAAUACAUUGGUUGUUCCUAUUUUAUCAAAAAAAUUGUAUGUAAAAUGAAUAAAUUUAUUUAAUAUUACAAAAUUCGAUUGUCAUCACACUUACCUGCUGGGUUGUAUUUGCUGCAGUCAGCUUCAGUAGAGUCAACAUUAAGAAACAAAAUGCUAAGAAGAAAAUAAGUAAAAAUCUUGUUCAUCUUUUUGGUUAUUUUGAGACCUGAAUUUUUGCCUUAUGAUAGUAAACUUAUUACAUUUCAUCUCUUAUAUAUAUAUUACCAUAUAUAUAUAUAUAUAUAUAUAUAUAUAUAUAUAUAUAUAGAGAGAGAGAGAGAGAGAGAGAGGGAGAGAGAGAGGGAGAUUGGUAAUUAAAUUAUGAUGUUAUAUAUGCACGUUUUAUAUUAUUAAUUAAUUUCUUACUUUGCCUUAUUUAGAUAUUAUUAGUCUCUCACAUAUUAAGGAUAGUUUAGUCACAAUAAAACAUUUAGAUGUACAAAUGUGCACUUAUCAACACCCUUCAGUUACAAUUAACAAUCUAACAUUAAUUGAAAAUCAUACCGUGUGAUUCUUCGCGAUUUUUAAUAAUUUCAUUUUGAGAAUAUUUUGGUAAUUUUAGAAUACUGUGUUAUUUUGAGACCUGAAUUAUUGCCUUAUGAUAGUAAACUUAUUACAUUUCAUCUCUUAUAUAGCCAUUUAUAUAUAUAUAUAUAUAUAUAUAUAUAGAGAGAGAGAGAGAGAGAGAGAGAGUGAUAUUGGUAGUGAUAUUGGUAAUUAAAUUAUGAUGUUAUAUAUGCACGUUUUAUAUUCUUAAUUAAUUACUUACAUAUGCGAAAGUGACAAAAUUAUCCCUAUUUUGUCUUAUUUAGAUAUUAUUAGUCUCUCACAUAUUUAAGAUAGUUUAGUCACAAUAAAAUAUUUAGAUGUACAAAUGUGCACUUAUCAACACCCUUCGGUUACAAUUAACAAUCUAACAUUAAUUGACAAUUAUAAUGUGUGAUUAUCUCAUUAAUUAUACAUGAUCUAUUUAUUUAUGGCUUCGUGAUUUCUAAUAAAUUCCUAUUGAUAAUAUUUUGGUAAUUUUAUAGAAUUCAUUAAAUGAGCAUACUAGUGAAUAAGCAUGUUUUAAAUUUUAUAUAAAGGUUAUUAAAAUAAAUAAAAAAUAGGAAGGGAACAUGUGGCUUGUCACAACUAAUCUUGAUAAUAGAUCAAGCUCAAAACCACAUAAUAUUUUGUUAUAAAAUAAUAUAAUGUUUGUAAUCCAUUAAUAAAAAUAAUAUAAAGAAAUAAAUGUAAUUAAUAAAUAUAUAUGAGUAUUCAUAGUUACAAGUUCAAGUUACAUAUUGUGACGCCCCCAAAUCCGGGUACUUGAAACUCGAACUCGGUGCUUCACGAUACCAUUUCUAUAAGCUGAAUCAUACAAUAGUAAUGUUACAUUCAAACUUAAUUUACAUACAUCAGAGUUUACUUCCCAGGUACGAGACCUUCAAAUACAUUCCUUACAAUACCUGACAAUAGAUUCCAUUGUCUUACUAACUAUAACUAUUAACUCAUACUAAAUCUCAUUCGAACAGCUUUUCUUUUUCUUUGUUCGUGCCUGAGCCUUCAGGUCGAUCGUACGUAACUGAAAACAUUUAAUUUAAGCAAGGAUGAGCAUUUGAGUGCCCAGCAAGUAAUAGCAAUUAUAUAUAUAAGCUGAAAGAAUAUAAGUAUUCUCUUUACAUAACACUUCAACAACGAAGCAAAAGUUGUGAAGUAAUCUGUACUGAUAAAAAUUCACAUAACAACUCUCUUUCAAAUUCUUGAAAUGAGGCUCCACCCAUGAAUAGGGUUUAAGAAACAUACUAUGAACAUGGUUUUUCAUUUUCGAAAAGGUUUAGCAGAAAUCCAUCCGCAAACCGCUCUAGCUUACGGGUACGGAGGGUGAUCAGCCCCGUUGUACCCUGUAUUGAUCAAUACUAAAUAACUUGAACGAAAUUCAUCGCUCAUCCUUUGUCCGCCGUAGCGCAUAAAAAUUUUCCCAUUAUCGGGAUGUUCAUACAUGCGAGGUUCUAAACCCGAAGGUUUUUAAUCUUGCUCAACAAUAAUAUGUAAUUCAACAUAUAUGUAUACGGGUAAUUGAAAAAAGUGUAUCAAUAUGUGAAUAAAUGCCAUGAUUAUCCAAGUGGGGACACUUGGAUAACCAUUUAGAAAUCAAUGAACAGAAUAUAUAUCUGAGCUAACAUGUUGAUAAUCAAAGCGUACAUAAUCUGUACAGGAAUAGAAAAGAAUUCUGAAACUUCUUACUCAUGUCCAUUGCAUAAAGAAAAUGCAAAGGUAGGAUACUUGCCUGAUUUGCUGAUUACAAAUCUCAACUUAGGUUUUAUCUCUUUAUCACAACCUAUCAAUAAGCAGGUCAUUCAUUCGAUUAGAACAAUAUAUCAUAACACAUAGUACUGUCAAUUACGGUCAGCACAUAGUCUAAUCACGUCAUCACAUAAUCGCACUGAUCAUAAUUUUAGUUCCUAUUCUAUACAUUUUUCAAAUAUCUCAUCCAUGCUCUUACAGAAGCCUUUUCUUUCUAUUAUAGGGUCUGACAUUUGUCGGCGUUCCGACAGCUUUAUCGGGUAAUUACUGAGUCUAAGACUCUUAUUCUAUACCUCAACAUCUGUAAAUAUCAGACAUUUUACUUUUAAUCAUUUUUGAAUUUUCCAGAAAUAGAAAAUUUUCAAAUAAUUCAAAUCUAUCACUAACGGGCCUAUCGUGACAUAACUGUUACUAUAGGUGCUCUUCAUCAAAUCCUGGACUUCAUAACCGGUUCUCAAGUCAGCUAGUUUGACCGGAUAUAACUUUCAAACAUCGGAAUCAUAAUUAAAUGAUUUAAACAUUAAACAAUUCCAUUAUCAUUAAUAAUUAAUUUAUAUUAAACUAUUAAUGAAACCAUUGCCAAAAUAUAAAAGUUAUUUAUAAUAACUCAAACUAUUUUUAAAACAUUUAUAUUACCCUUAAAUGAUUUUUAAAACAAUUAAAAUCAUUUUUAAAUAAUCACCAUUAAUAUAUAAAUAUUAAUGUACUAUUCAUCCAAAUAUUAAAAGUCAUUAAUUAUAACUUAAAAUAUUUUUAAAUCCUUAAUAUCCUCUUUAAAUGAUUUUUAAAUAAAUAAAACCAUUUUUAAACUAUUUAUUUAAUAAUAAUUAUUAAAUAAACUAAAUAUCAUUAAUAUUAUCUUAAUAUCAUUAAUAUUAAAUUAUUAAUGAAAUUAUCCUUUAAAUAUUAAAAGUUAUAUUUUAUAACUUAAAAUAUUUUUAAAUACCUUAAUUUCAUUUAAAAUGAUUUUUAUAAUAUUAAAAUCAUUUUUAAACUAAAUUAUUUAAUAUAAUCAUUAAAUAACUUUAAUAUCAUUAAUAUAUAAUUAAUUAAUGAAAUUCAUCACAAAAUAUUAAAAGUCAUGGAAAAUAACUUAAAAUAUUUUCUUAUACCAUAAAAUAAUUUUUCAUGAUUUUUCAUGAAUUAAAACUAUUUUUAAAUCAUUUAUUUAAUAUUAUAAUUAAAUAAAUAAAUACCUUUUAUAUUCCAAAAAUAUUAAAUAUUUAUGAAAUAUACUCAAAAUAAUUAAAAACUAUUUUUCGGACUUUAAAAUAAUUUUUCAUAAUUUAUUUGGUAUUUUUAAUAAUUAAAAUCUAAUUUUUCUAAUUUUUAAAUUAUUUUCAGAAAUUACAGAAAAUAAAAUAAAUAAAAUCCGUCGCUAAAGGCUAUAGCGACAGACAACCGUCGCUAUAGGUGUUCUUCAUCUCAAGAACACAGUUAGAGACAGUUCAAGGGGGCUAUUUUGACCAUGAAUAACUUUUUCCUCUUAAUGAAUUUGGACAAUCUAUAAAGUGGGUCUUGUAGAGGAAAUACCAGACUACAAUUACCAACAAUCAUAACUUCUAAACAACAUCAAAUCUGAGAGAAAUCGUACCUCAAAGUAGCUGUCAGAGCUGUUCUUCGUGAAGAACAGUUCGUGAUGCCUACUUUGGACCUCUAUAACUUGAUGAUCGUGUAACGUUUAUGUGAUCUAUCAAUUCCAGUGUGUAGACAACAUGUAGGACUACAACUACAAACCUUAACAUCAUCAUAACAACAAUAAAUCAAGCAUCUAAAGUAUGGUCAAACCUUAUCAAAAAAACAACACUUAGAAAAUUCUGGGCUGCCCAGAAUUUUCCAGUCAAUGCCGGUCAACCCACUUUGACCUUAAAUAACUCUUAAUCUAUAAUAUAUAUGGACCUGAUUCUUUUUGGAGGUUAAAUACCACAUAACAAGAUACACAUAACAACCUUUAGAACACAAAACAAAUUAAAGAUAACCGAGAUAUAAGGCCUGACAUUUUCCAAAAAAAUAUUUUCUGGACACUUAGAAUAUUUUCUGGGUUUGAAGAACAGCCGGUCAAUGCCGGUCAACCCACUUUGAUCGCUUAUAAAUCCCGAUCUACAAUAGCUAUGAACUUGAUUCCUUUUGGAGAUUAAAGACCACAUAUCAGGCUACAUAUAAAAACUUUUAAACAACAAAACUCAUGAUCGACCAAAGAGUUAUAGCCUCUGACAUUUGGUGAAAAAUCACAGAAUUCGGUUUUUCCAACUUACUCAAAUCUUCAAAUUCGUGCACUUUGAUGUUAUGGGUCUGUGAUUUUACAACCCAGAACAUUAAUAGACUCCUUAUUACACAACUUUAAACAAUCAAUUGCAUCAAUUAACAUCGAAUCAAAGGAUUUCUAAUUUUUGGGAUUUCAUACCUUUUCUUACUUUGAUUUCUUGAUUUUUGACUUUGAUGCUUCUGAUUUGUGGUUUGUGAUGGUUGGUCUUUGAUUAUGAGCUUAUGGGUAAGAUAAUUUCGUUGGUUAGAACUUGAGAGAGUGUGGCUAGGUGUUUGCUAUAAUUUUAGUGUGUAAUUUCAUUUAAUCUCCUUGAUUUCUAUUUAUA